AUUUACUUGGAAAGUGUCAUCACAGCCACUUAAUUUUCCUGCACAUUUUCUCAGCAACCAAACAGAUACAAGAUCCUUCUCAGAAAACACAUUUUAAAACACAAACAAAAAAACCAAAACAAAACAAAGAUCAGCCUCAGCGCGGAAGUGAAUAGCGCGUAAAAGGAAGGCUCAGAUUCGCCUUUUAUCAGACAAGAAAAAGAUGACCGUCAUGGUUGCAACCACAGUUGCUUGUGAAACAAGGCACAAAAGGUCCCAUCACACAAACCAUCCGGGUUGCCCCGCCAAGAAACGGACAUUCCCAGUGCCUGACUUACUCUGAAAACGUCAUCACAGCCUUUUAUGUUGCCCAUAUGAACAGAGAGAGAGAGAGAGCUGUUGAUUUUCCAGAGAAUCAAGACAGCCUCUGAUAUAUAUGUAUAUAUAUAUAUAUAUAUAUAUAUAUAUAUAUGUACACACAUGUGCAUGAAAAGAAAGGAAAGAAAAGAAAGAGCCAAGGAAAAGGGCUGUUGACGGGCGUAGUAGAAGGAAUCAUCGGCUCCGACGACCAUGAGAUUCAGAGAGGGGCAACCACCCUUAGAAACUCCCCAUCCCUCCGACACAGUCCCUGGAGCCUCACUCACACACGUGUAUGAAAAGAAAGAGCGAAGGAAAAGGGCUGUUGAUGGGCGUAGUAGAAGGAAUCAUCGGCUCCGACGACCAUGAGAUUCAGAGAGGGGCAACCACCCUUAGAAACUCCCCAUCCCUCCGACACAGUCCCUGGAGCCUCAGUCUUAAACCAAUGGGGUUUAGCCCUAAGAUGUUAUUUGGUAAUCUGAUCAUGAUUUGCAGGCAAAGGUUGUGUUUUUCAGCCUGGCUCAAAAAUUGUGGAUUUAAGGUUCGUGAAAUUUAAAUCCAAUGGCACAAAAGCAAAGAGACCCCUAGAACAGAUCCAGAAAACACAGGGAGCCAAAAAAAAAAAAAAAACGCAAUUUUUUUGGUUUUCCUUGGGGGUUUUGCAUGAAUUUUCUCGGAAAUCAAACAAGGAUGAAUUUUCCCGGAAAUCGAAUGGGGGAUGGAUUUUCUUGGAAAUCAAACGGGGGUUGCAAAAACAAAAAAUAAUAACAUGAUUAGAUUAGUACCUGCGAGGAUUGAGAGUGGCAGAGGAAAAUAGGGCUUUUUAAGGGAUUCUCUCGUCCGGAGGGCAAGUUCAGAAAAGGGCUUCUUGAUGCCCCAGUGAGAGAAGUGGAUGGCCCUUUCCAUUUUUAUAUUUAGUAGAGAGAGAAAACAAGGAAACAAAUCAUGAGAACAAUUAUUCUCUCUAUAUAAAUAAUUAUUAAUUAUCCAUCUUUAUUUUGAUUAAAUCACUACCAAAAUUUGAUUUUUAUAAAUUAAAAUUAAUUUGAUAAGAUAAAUUAUUAAUAAUUUUAAUUAUUUAAAUAAAUUAAUGUUAAUAAAAAAAAGUUAUUACCACAUAUUUUUAAUAAAAUCUUAAAAAUUAAAUAUCAAAUAAAAUAUUUUAUAUAAAUUAAUUUAAUUUUUCAUUUAAAAUGUAAUAAUACAUGUUUUAAUAAAAAUAUUUAAUUUUUUAAAAUAAAUAUUAUCUUCAAUAAGAUGGACUCCUUUCAUCUAAUAAUAUGAUACUAAAGACUAUUAUAAUAUCAUAUAUAUUAUAUUUAUAUAUAAAUUAUUUUUAUUCUAUAAAAUCAAAUAUUUCUUAACUCAAUUCUAACUUUAUACACUUUCAAAAUUCAUAUUUAUUAUUCUUAAAAUUCAAAUACCGAAUCUACUAAUAUUUUCUAUUUAAUCAUAUUUAUGUCAAUUAUAUUUACAAAAUAACUUUAUAAUAUAUAUUAUUGUUAUUUUCCUUUUUUUUUUUUAAGUUUUUCCAAACAUUCUUAUAAAUUUUAAAUAAUUUUUGCUCGACCGAUAUCCGUUUACCGAUCUUUACUCUGUAUCUAUCCAAAAUAAAUGAAAGAUAGUUUUUUACAACAAUUUUUUUAAUGAUUUUUAAAUCAAAAGUUAGUUUUAAAAUCUGAAAUAUUUUUAAUCCACUAUUAUGUUUUUAAAAUUAUAUAAUUAUUUUUUAAAACAAUAAAAACAAAUAAAAUAAUUAAGGUUAUGUUUAGUUUAUUAAAAAAAAUGUUUUAUCAUAUUUGAUUUAAUAGUGAAAAUAAAAAUAUAAUAAUAAUUAAAAUUACUUAAAAACCAAUGUAGCUUUAAAAUUUUUUUUUUGAUCUUUAGCUUAAAAAAGAAAAAUAAAUAAAACGAAUUUGACAAGAUAAUUAAUCUCUCUGAAAGGAAGAGACUCAAAAGUUUUGGAGGAAGAAAAAAAGGGAGUAAGAUUUGAGGGAUAAAAAUAAAGAAGGAACAAGUGGGUGGGUAUUGCAUUAUAUCCAUGAGUUGAUCAAUAACUAGCUCCAUUUCCUUUCCUUUAUUUUCUUGCCAGCCAAACAAAAUCUUAAGUCUGGAACCAUCAUCCCAGAAACCAUUUAUUAAAAGCCAUACGCCAAGGAUUCGUAUAACACCAUGGAAUCAACCAUCAUCACCCUCUCAAACCUACAUGCCAUAGCUACACAGACUCUACUCCCAAGUUCCCAAAUAACCAAGCUUCAUAUCUACUAGCUCCAAAAUGGUUAAACAAGAUGAAAGAAGGAAAGGAAGAGAUUACUUGAUGAGAGCCUGGUAAAGGCAGAUCUGCAAAAAUUACAAGCCUUGUCCACAUAGCUUUAUGUGGUCCCAUGGUAUCUAUUUAUAGCCCCAUGAAAGCAGAAUUACUUCUUCAUUACCAAAUGUCAGCAUAGGCAAUGCCCGACCUCCAUCUUCCCAUGGCUGCCAAGCCCUUUUAUCAAUAUGUGAAGAUGCAAACCAAAAUGGUUAGCCCAUCAUCCAAAGCUAGCUCCUCCUCCUUAUUUACACCUAACGGUUUCCCUGAUUCACAACAAGUUCAAUUUCCUUGCUCGACAUCUUUCAGAUAGAACAGAACAAUUACGAUUACAAUCACAAAAUGUAACACCACCCCACAUCUUCCUCUGUUUAUCUAAGCAUUACAAGACCUCAAAGUUGAUGUUCCAUCAUCAUAAUAGGCAUGGUGUAUUUCCAGUCUCAAACAAGUUAAGGUUCCAUCCUAACACCAUAAUGGUGGGUUGUUUUACUUCAGACAACGAAUCUGAGUCAGUUAACAGGCAAAAAGAAACAUUCAAUAGUUCAAGAAGAUCACUUAGAAUUUUCUGAAAACCUCAAAACCGUUUUCAUUUAUAAUUACAAACCAACCCAAAAAUUGAACAAUACGAGGCACUGGGCUGAACAAUCACCUCAGAACUCUGGUAAAAAAGAUGAAGGUUUCUAUAGAUAAAAUGGCCUUUGCAAAUAAAGCAAUGAGAAAAAUGGGAUAUAAAUUAAGGAAUGAUAGAAUGAAAAUGUUGAAAGGAAUUGCACAUGGCUUCAAAGAAUGAAUAGAUUUGGUACCCUUGCCGAGAAAUUACAUGGCUGCCUUGCCCCUCUGUUGAAGUACUACAUCAUGCACAACUUCCCCUGCUGAGUUAACAAAGUAGGUUUCCUGCCAUGGAAAAAGAACAUUUGUUGGUGCUUCAACAAGAACAAAUUUAGUAAAAAAAGACGAAUACUCACAAUCUCUAAGGAGCUGACUCUAUGAAGAAGGAACCCAUUAACCAUUCCCCUGAGGAAACAAAGAAAAAAAUUUCAUAUGUAUGAACCAAUGUAGAACACCAUUAGGAACUAUGAACAGAAAUACUCACUUACUAAAACCUGAUAUUUGAUUUACAGAAGCAAGAGGAAGUUUUUCAUCAAUUGAACCUGGGUUCCUGAUGUAGGCUAUACUAUCUUUACGAGCAUAGUCACUACAUCCCUCCCCACUCAGGUACACAUCCUGAUGAGCAAAUGCAUGGAUAAAGCGUUACUUUCUUCAUAGGCACCAGAAAGAUUCCAAAUUUGACAUAUCAGAAAGUUGUUCAUUCAAUUCAUUAGGAACUGUCUUAGAUUUUCAUAUAUAUUGAAAAUUUUGGACUUUGAUCAUCUCAAAAGCAAGUUCUCUAAAGAACCCAAAAUCAAAACCUUGGGCAUGGGAUGUCUUCACCCAUUGAUACUCAAUGGGGAGAGCCAUAAAUACUUACCACUCCAAACUUAUAAAAAAUAUGGUGUAGAUGCUCAUAAAGUUGUAUUUCUAUUCGUUCCCUGUUUCCUUCACAAACAGCCAAUGAGCAGAAACCAACAACUAUGCGCCUGGAUCAUAAGGAGGAAAAAAGGAGACAAUUAGUACUUGGGAAUUGGGAUGGAUAGUUUCUUUAUUAAGUUAAAUAUGGAGUUGAAAUGGUAGGGGUGCUUGGCAAUGGCAAUAGGACAGCAAACAAUGAAGGUCCAACAUAGUAACCAGAGAAAACAAAAGGAAAACGAAUGUUUUAACUCAACAAUUUGGGUUAAGGCAAAAUUUAAAUGAAAACCAGAAUUUUAUUGUUGAAAGAAAGAAAAUUUGUGAAAUAAAAUUAAGUUGAGAAGUAGAUUAUCACGCAUCAGAACCACUCUGAACUGACAUGAUUUUCAAAUUUUUCAAAAUUUUCCAGGCAUUACAACCUUGCUUAUUCCUAGGUUCAUGCAAUUAUAAACAGCCAAUAUGGUGCAAUGUAACCUUACCAGUCGCUAUCUGAUGUUUCUAGUGUCUUUGUCAGCCCAUGUAAUUGAUCAUUUCCAGCACCAUUUAACGGAUUCAUAAGCAUAAAAUCCUUCAAGUUUCAAAGAGGAGACCAAUUAAGAGGAAAGAAGAAUGAAAUGCGGCAUAAAGGAGCAGAAACCAAAAAACAGAAACAAAUGGGGGAUAAAAUGUGUGAUAAAUACAUCUAUGGGAUAUUGAUAGUGUAACUAAAUGAAAUAGAUAUCAAAUCAAUCAUAUACACAUAUAAAUACAACACAGAAAUAAGCAUGGCCAUGGUGAAAAAGGGCUGCAAUGUGGGUUGUAACCAGAGAAUGGAAUAUGGACAAGGAGCAUAAAAAAUGAUUUGGCAGGCCAAGAAAUGGCUAUUUUAAUAUGAUGAAAAAGAAAAAGAACAAAAAAAAUUCAUUAUGAACAUGACUUGAAGAGUACACCUACGCUCAAAUAAUGACCAAGUGAUCAACUUUAAAAUCACAUUGCUAACCUCAGCCCUACCCCUCAUGGAAAAAUGGAAAAAAUAAAUAAAAAGAAAAAAAAUUCUUAGAAGGCCUUGAGAAGGGUAAACCUGCUGGGACUCAAACCCGGAACCACCCCACAUCCCCACCCUCAACCCAAGCUACUCGAGCCACGCCUCAAGGGUGAUAAAGAUCUAACCUUCAGCAUUGAAUAAAAAAUAAGCUAAAUGUGCAAAAAAUAUCCAGUAUUUUCUCAUGCAUUUUAAUUGCUUACUAGACUAGAUAGAAUCUCCAGUCAUUGAUGAGAACAAAGAACUCAGUGUCUUUAUUAUUAUUAUUGAAUAAAAAAUAAUCUAAAUGUGCAAAAAUAUCCAGUAUUUUCUCAUGCAUUUUAAUUGCUUGCUAGACUAGAUAGAAUCUCCAGUCAUUGGUAAAAUUCAAUAAUUCCAAUUUCCACCAGUUGAUUUGUCAAGUCCCUAAUUAAAUAAUGAAAGAUAAAAUACUUUGAUGAGUUAUAUACUAAAAUAUUUGUGCUUCCCAAUCUAAUUCUAACAAGAACCCUACAAAAUGCACACCUUAAUCCAACUCAACCAACACUCAAUCUUGCGAUUGCCUCAUAGUCCACAAGGUACAUCGGAGAGACCUAACUUAUCUUGAUGUUACAAGAUUUCACAUGAACAUCUGAAUACAUCUCCUGGGGCAUGGUAAAGAUGAAUAUAAAAACAAAAUGAAAUCAAUACAAGAAGUUGAUAGCCCCUCUAUGAUCAUAACUGGGGUCAGCACAAUCAGUAACAUAAGAUUCAUGGCGUAGUAUCGCAUUCCAAACAAUAAAAUAUUGAAGUGUAUCAUAAACUCAACACAAGCAUAUGCAAUGUCAAUUAUCAUUAAGUCAACAAUGAUAUUAAACAUUGGUAUAAACAAUUGAAACAAUGACAACACAAAAGGAAAAAACCUUAUACAACUAUUAAUCUAUCCUCUUUGGAAGUCUUUUAUCAUCUUCCACAAAUUUCCCAUUUUCCUCCAUAUGCUGCACAAAAUCCGACCCCAUAUUUUUUGUAUCUUUGUCAUCAUUAAAGGAAAUAAAUGCAUGCAACUUUUAAAGAUUUGAGGCCAUGUGAAAAACUUGUCAUUUGAUGUCAAGUUUUUUUAUAUGAAAAAGUUUUCCAAAAUGAGAAUGGCAGAACUAUCAAUCUAUCUUCAUCUAGGUUUGGAGCUUCUUGAGUCUUUUAUCAAUUAUCAUCCACCAUAAAAUUCCAGUUUUCUUCUGUAAAUUGCUCAACCUCCAACAUAAUUUUUAAUUUUUUUUCUAAUUAAGAUUAAAUACAUGCAUAUUUUGAAGAUUAAGCCAUGUGGAGAAUUGUCAAUCAAUCGUAAGUUUUUCCUAUAUCAAAAGCAUUUUUUAAAAUUUUCGGCCUUGUUGGAAAAAAGACCUAAUGAGAUGGGUUUGUAUCACAAAACACUAAGGAUUGACUCAAAAGUCCCAAUGAAAUUAUAGCUACUGUAAAAACCAUGUAACCGCUUUCAAGCUUAAACCCAUAUUACAAGAGGAUGGUGGAAGAGGCCUCUCUUCUGACUGACAUAAUAACCAUGAGAAGUAUUAGCCAACAAAUCUUAAAUUGAGCAAAUUCAACAAACCAGUUGAUACCUUAAAUGCCCCAGUAUCCAAACUAAUAAUGUCUAAGGUCUUCCCAAAAGGUAUUUUGAUCUGCUUUAGGAAGUAACCUGUUCCUUGUCCUCUUGAAACUCUGGUACUGUACCUACAAGAAUUACAAUUCAGGAUUACCACACAAAGAGACUAAACCAAAAAGACUGUUACAUUAAAAACUACAUUGGAGUCCAAGUUUUGUAACAAUGAAAUUUCAAAAGAUGAGCUACAAAAAUGACACAACUGAUUGCAAAGUGGAUGGCAUACCAGGGAACUUUCAGUGUUGAAAAACGCCAAGUACCCUGUAAAAGAAGAUGUCAUCUUCUAAGAUUGUUCCUAACAGAUGAAACCAAUGAAACCUAAUUAAACUCAGCAGUAAUUUAUUUUCUAAUCACACACCUAUAAAGCAAAACAAAAUAAAACUACAGAAUUAAAUAUGAACCACUAUUCCAUUACUCCAACCAAAGCAUGGUUUCUAUUAUUUCAGUUAAAUUCACAAAAAGUUAGGAGAGAAUCAUUUCUACAACUUACCCAGAGUGAAGCAAUGCAUAACUUUGAUUAAAUUUGGCUAAACUAUGACAACUAAAGCUUCCAUAUAAAUGGAGUGUAAGCCUGAAGGUGCCACAAGAAAGUUCAUAUAACAAAUAGUAAAAGGGCUUCCCACAUUGAAUUUACUAGCCAUGGUCUUACAUUCUGUGUGAGUGGAUCGUCUUCCCCAAGUUCACUAAUGUUUAUCACAAACCUUGCCUCAUAAGUCUUUGCCGCCUUCUCCAUCUUCAUGGGAAAAAACAAUUCAAAUUAGAACAGGGAAAAUAGAAUAUAAACUCAAAAUGCUAUUAAUGUUAGUAGACGAUAAUCAUUUAAUGCAACUAAGUUCAAUAACAGAGGGGGGAAAUAACAAAGCCUAAAAACAGAGAAGGUGGAAGGCAGAAGUAACUUGGAUGAAUUAGAACCAAGAAGACAAGACAAGAUCAAAACCAACAGAUGAGAAGGCUGACACAAACAAUUGAGAGAGAUCAAAAACUGAACCAUAUAAUAAAAAACUCACUCACAUGAUUAUUCUUUGGCCAAAAGAUAAAGGUUAUGUUUGGUUCCAAAAAGUACCAAGGAAAGAAAAAAAUACUAAGAAAUAUUAUUAUGUUGCAUAUACAAUUAAAAACGGAAAAAGAAAGAUCUUCUAGGGUUCAACAACUGUCAUAUUAAAAAAAUAAUAAAAAUAAAAUUUCGAUCCCAGUAAAACCUAACACAAAAUUCUUUCCUCAAAGCAAAAUCAUUCACAUAGAAAGUAAUUGAGAAAGAAAUAAUAAACUGUUUGGUUGCUGAGAAAAUGGAGACAUAGAAAAGGAAAUCAAAAUUUUGAAACUCUAUUAUUUCCAUUAUUUGAAGGCCUGGAAGAAAGAGGGAAAAAAACUUCCACUCUUACCUUAAUUUAGGUUGUUUUGUCAAUUUCGAGAGGGGAAAAAACAGGAAAUUAAUUUCAAGCGAUUUCACUUUCAGCAUUCUCAGCAACCAAACGGAGCGUCUGAUAAAACUAUCAUAUCCACCAACAGAGCCAAAACCAAAUAUACCCACCAUCAACAUCUUAAAACAAAAUCCAUAUAGAACGAGAAAAACCCAUGCUUUUCUUCAAUGAACAAAAGGAAUCAAUAGAGAGGAUGAGAAAUAGACCUGUUUGAGAAGAUGGGUUUGUUGAUUAAGAGGUCUAAAUCCUCCUCUAACACUGAUAAAGUAAAGGUCAAGAGGCCUGCUACUGCCACUGCUGCUGUGGGACAUGGGCUUCUCCCAAGGCCGACCCAAGUUGAAUGCAAGCAAGACAGCCAAGCAGAGAGACAACUGUGUUAUAACAGUGCGAACCCAUGAAGGUUUCCCCAUUGUUAACACAGGUCUCACAGCCUCAGCUAUUCAACUGGUAAUUGAUUUCACUCAUAGAUCUGAAGAUAUAUGAGGAACGUAACCGCCGUCACCCGUAUCUCUAAUCUCCUCAAUGUUAUCUGUAGGGACCCCUCCCACACGUGGCACACAUUUUCAUCCGAGUUAAUCUCAUCCGGAUUUCCCCAAGAGUACACGUGGUGCGCUUCUCCUAUCCGGACUCCCUCAAGAAGAGGCACACGACACUCACAAACAUAACAUCCAGAUGACUGCCACAGCGCAUCCGGACGACCGACAUACACUAUCCGGGUAUAUAUAUCCGGAUCAUUGAUUGAAGUAAGCAAGUCUUACACGUUAUUACAACAACCUGUCAUGGCCCACGUUCCGCCACCUGUAGGGUGAAAGGACAAGAAUGAAGUGACGGCAAGUCACUUCCUGCGAUCACUUCCCACGAUUUCUGACAGUCGCAGCAACUACCACGAUCUCUAUCAGCCGCCUAUAGGGUGAUGAUGGCCCUGCCACCACCUAGUGUCAUCAUGACAACACAAAAUAUCUCCCUACCAUUAAAGAGAGAAACAAAGCUUCUGAUAUUAUAUAUAUGAACCUUCACACAAGGAGUAAGGUAAGCUUGCUAUACCUAGUAAAAUGCCAACUGAUUUAUCUCUCUCUAACCAUGGCUGACAAAACCAUCGGAGGGUGCGUCCGGACACCCUGUCCGGACGCCUUUUGCAGGUAGUACGAUUGAAUCAAGAAUCUAUAUUAGUUGAGAUCGUGCAUCCACCCAUUUGGCAACUAAGUGGAUCACCAGGGAUGCGACGCUUCAACAUUAUCAAUUGCUUGAUUAAGAUAUUCGCUAAUGAAGCUCCACUUGGCAGGCAGGACCCAUUAUUGAAGGGAAAUGCCUUUAUAGUUCGUUUAUAUUAUGGACUCUCGGACUAAAAUCGCUUUGUCAUAUUUGAAACUUUCCUCACAAACAAACGCACCAUCAGCCAUUAAACAUCAUAUUUCAGCAUUCUUUUUUUGCACAUUGUCACAUUCCUAUCUCCUAAUUUUCAAAAAUUAUUUUAAAUUUAAAAAUUGAGUUACCACUUCAAAAUAUAAACUUUUAAAAUAAAAUUAUGUACAUUUAAAUCCAUACUAAAUAUGUGUAUUUGCGUUUAUUGCCUUGUAAUAAUAUUUUAUUCUUUAUUAUUAUUAUAAUUUAGAUGAGUUGGUUCGAUCUAAUAUAAUAUUUGAACAAAUUUGGAUAUUUAUUUUUAAUAUUCCGAUUAGACUUUGGUUCAUUUUUUAAACCUCAUCUUAAUUUGGAUUUGACUUGGGAGAUACCUCUAAUGAAAAUUAAUAUGGUUCUCUUCAUACAUUCUAUUCUACUUUUCUUUUAAUAUCUUUGUUUAUUCUCUCGUAUUUUCUUAUUCUUAUUCUUUUAUUUCACAACAUGUUAUCAACAGAGUUAUGAAUAUAUAGAAAAAGAGAAGAAUACUUAAGGUAGAAAAGAAAAAGAGAAUAAUUCAUCUACAAAAUUUCUUAUAGAUAUGUAGUCUUAUUCUCUUCGAAUGAAAUAUGAAUAGUAUGCAUUGUAUUAUUAUAAUUUUUAUUUACUUUAUCUCAUAACCAGAAGUUAUGUGAAUCAUAUUUCAUAUAAUUACAUAUUUUAAUUAUUUAAUAACUAGAAAUUAUAUAGAAAGUUUUUUAUAACCAGAAGUUAUGAAAAAAUAUAUGUCCAAUCUUCAUAACUAGAUGUUAUGGAGUAAAUUACAAAAACACAAAUACGUAGUCGGAAGCUAUGCAUAAGAUCCCUAAUUACUUUUUAAUUGUAUUAUAUAUCUAAAAGUUAUAUAAAAUAACAUUAUAUGGCCAGAAGCUAUAUAAUGAAUAGUUCAUAACAUGAAGCUAUGUACAAAUCCAAAAUUACAAAUAUACGACCAGAAGCUAUGUAUAUAACUCAUAAUUAUUUGUUUUUAAUUAUAUAGUUGUGGACCCGCAAAUUUCACGUGCGCCCCCACUCGAUCGACGAGACUCGCUUUUUGUUGGUGAAAAAUUAAUUUUGGAAAAUUCAGAGUCACCACUUAUUUUAUUUUUAUUUUAAAGGGAAAAUAAAAUAAGAAAUAAAACUCUAAAAAAAAUGACUCCAUAAUUUUUGGAAAAGCGUGUCUUUGAAAAAAAACCCGAGUCUAAGUCCGGGGAUUAGGUUACUUAUUGGGUAGGUACCUCUAGGAGGUAGCAUCUUUCUAAGCCCUAAAGAAGUCUCUACUGACUAAAUUGGGGGUAAUAUAGCAAUUAAUUGAUUAAUUGGGGAUACCAAGAUAGGUUAAAGUGAUUUCAAAAAAUAACAUGCCAAAUAGGAUCAAAUUACCAUAAAAGAGAGUUAGGGUGCAUACUUGGACGACUUCUCAAGAGCUAUCAUAAAACAUGAAAGUUAGUAUUGAGAUACAUCACACAACACGCAUUUUAUCAAAGAUAAUCAAACAAUGAUCAAAUAUAUAUCAAGGCAAUCAAACAGGAUAGCAAGCAUGGACAUAGUACGCAACGACAAUCAUAUUCAUAGGGUUUAGAAAGUGGGUAUUAGGGAACGUACCUGGAUAGCAUUUAUAACUCCUAAUGCACUUCCUCAAGACAUGGGGGUUAGAUAAUAAAUAAUAAAUAGUAAAUCCUAGCAUGCUUAUCUAAUUAAUUAGCAAAAAUUAUCAGAAUACGGAAUAAUUAAUUAUCAUACAUAUCUUGUAUACAAUUCCUAAAAAGAAAAAUGUAAAUAUAAUUACAAUAAAUAGCAGGGUGGUAGUAAAAAUAAAUUUUGAAAAAGAUUUUCUUAUGUAGGGGUUUCACCAAUUCCCCAAAUUAAUAUACACAAAUUUAGCCUAAAAUUAUCCCAUUUAUUUGGGACCACAAGCUUUCAUUCGCGUUUUGUUCAAAACCAAAAUUUUUGUUGAAAAUUGAGAAAGAUGUGAACCGAUUAAGAUACGGUUGCAUAUUAUUUUUUAAAAAAAAGAAAAGAAAAGAGAUUUUGAUUCUAGAGGCUUUAAAUGAAUUUUAUAAAAAUAAAAUAAAAUCUUAAAAGGUUUUUUUGAGAAAAAGAGUUUUGCUUUAAAAUAAAAGAAAUUAACUUUUAAAAUAGCAAAAAUAGAAAACAAAAUAUCAAUCAAAACAAAAGGAAACAAAGAUCACAAAAUAAAGAUUUUAGAAAUUAUUGUCAAUUAAAGUGGUGAGAGUAAAGGCCAACCUUCAUGGGUUUCCAAUGGCCCUAAAAAAAAAAAAAAAAAAUUUGACCAACAAUUACUAAGGCAACAAAUUUAUGACUUCCUAAUCAAACAAACUAACAAAAUUAUCAUACAAAAACUAACAUUUAGAUUUCAAGAAACAUAUGAAUAACUAGAAUUAAAAAUGUAAACUUUACCUCACAGGAUCAAUUAAACUAAAGAAUUAAGAUUGAUAACACGUUCAAAUUAAAAAUAAACUAGAAUUUAAACUAAUCGGAAUUAAAACUAUAAACUUUACCUUACAAGACCAAUUAAACUGAUAGAUUUAAGAUCAAUAACUCAUUCAAAUUAAAAAUAAACUAAAAUUAAACUAAUUGGAAUUAAAAAUAUAAAUUUUACCUCACAAGAUCAAUUAAACUAAAGACUUAAGAUCAAUAACAUAUUCAAAUUAAAAAUAAACUAGAAUUAAACUAAUUGGAAUUAAAAAUAUAAAUUUUAUUUAAACUUUCAUGUAGAUUAAAAUAAACUAGCAUAGAACUAAUGAAUUGCAAUCAUAAAAGAGAGACAUUUAAUCUAAGAAAAAUAAAAGAUUGUUCGAAAUCGAGAUUUAAAAGAAUUUAUCACAAACAAUUAAUUAAACCAAUCAACAAAAACCCAAACUAAAAAAAAAAGAAAUAAGAAAUAAUGUAUCAAAAACCGAAAACUAACCUGUAUUGUAUCGGAAAAAUACUCUCUUGAUGUGUCAAAAUGACAGCCCAAUUAGUCUUUCAAGUCCUCUGCCAUUCCCCAAAAAAAAAACUCUUGCGCGUGCCCUCUCAAAAAAAGAUUGCCUCUUGUAUGUGGAUCUCUGCUCCAAAAGAAAAGUCCUCUCCCUGCGCCAAAGAAAUAAAAUUCCCGUGUCUGUCUUCUCUCUUACUUCUUCAUCAAUUUUCAGCCGUUGAAGACCCUCGUCAAAUGCACAUAUAUUUAAUAGAAAAUUCAGUCACUUCACUAACAACAAGGAGUCAUAAUUUCCUCCACUAUUCUGCCAUAAUUUUCAGCUCACUUAUCAAUGCUCCUUCACCAAAUUUCCAACGCAUUUCAUUGUGAAUUUUCAGCCAUGAAAAAAAAGCUUCCAUUCACAGCCACAAUUCCCGUGUGUCCACCACAAAAUUCAGUUUUCAAGAAUUCACCUUUUGCAUGAAACUACCAUCAAAGGAAUUCUCCAUAUGCAGCCAUAUAUUCCGUGAUUCAUCCAUGGAGAUUUAUAAAUUCAAGGCCAUUAUCUCCAUUAAACUAUUUUAAAAUUCAUCCAUGGAGAUUUAUAAAUUCAAGGCCAUUAUCUCCAUUAAGCUAUUAUAAAAUUCAUCCAUGGAGAUUUAUAAAUUCAAGGCCAUUAUCUCCAUUAAGCUGUUAUAAAAGUCAUCCAUGAAGAUUUUAUAUGCAAGGCCAUUGAAACCUGAUUGGAAUCAAGUAAUUAAUAUUCACAAAGUGGCUGCCCAUUCUCCAUCAGAAUCAAAGUGUUAACACGGCUGAAAGUGAAUGAAAGCCUUUCCCUUUAACCAAGGCAUCAACACGGCUGAAUGUGUAUAGAAUCUUCUUCAUUAAAUCAAGGCGUCAACACGCGUAAAGGGGAUGAAAUUCCUGCCCGCUUCGAUGGAGAUCUCCCCUCCUUCCCAGAAUAGUGCAGCUGAGUUCCAACCCCCCACCUCAAAAAUCUGAUUCUAAAUGUCUCCGACCUGUUGUGUGUGUAGCUCUCCCGAUCUGACCUGUGCGCGUGUUCUUGGAAAAUCAGAAUUGUGCGUGGACUCCUUCAUGCGGCUGUGGAGACUUCCUGAAGUGGUGUGUGGCUGUUAGUGCGUGGUCCCCAUGCUUGAGAUUCAACUUAAGCACAUGCAUGCAUGGAUUCCUUCAAUGAGAUAUCCUUACUCAUUUUUUGCAUGAGUUUGUUGACGUAAGUUACUAGGGAGAGGGUAAAUCCUUUCUUUCUUUCGCUAUUAGUUGAUCUAAAGGCUUUUAUGGUUAUUGAGUGCACUAGACUAGAAACAUACUUGCCCCAUUAGCAUGCAUAUAACGGAGCAACCAGCCCCCUUCAACAUCUCUCAUAACGUGUUCUACACUGUUGAAAGCUAAAUCCACAUGAGGUGUGUGAUGCAUAGCUAAAAAAACGCCAGUGACUAAAGAUUUUCGGAGAAGUGAUGCAAAACCUGUCUAGUCCUCUCUCACUGCAAGUCAUAGGGCCAGAAAGUCAAGCAUGGCCCAGCCCGUACCUCUCUUUCCUAGCUUCAUCUUGGCUACGCUCGAUCAUGAAACUAUCUCACCUCCGACUUUUUUUCACUAUUUACUCUUCUCUCAUUCAUGCACCAUACAUCUUAUCUGUAAUGAUAAAUUCAGAAUUCAAUCUGCUGUUUCAGUCUUAACCUCAAUGAUUGCUGGUUGAUCCUGAACUUCAUGCUUAUUUGCCCUUUGUGCAACUCUUAUUUUUUUCUUGGAUUGGUGCACAUAUUCUGCUGUUAUAAUAUGGAUCUUGGGAGUAGGCUUACUUGAUGAGGCAACAUUAAAACUUGACCUUUUUCCCGGCUCGGUGGAGAUAUUUCUGAGCCUAUUGUAAGUGGACGGUACAGAGAACAAGAAUGAAAGACUUCAAUAUUGGCUUCCCACAGGUUAUGGGUCCCGUCUGCACUGUCUUGAUGACAUAAUCACAGGGCUUGUAAAUCCGUUGUUUCGGAUCACACAGAAUAUGCAGAUAACAGAACCUUGUUAGCGCCCUCGCCUAAUCCUCCUUGAACGUCUGUAUAAUCAAAAGCCCCUCAUCUUCUUCCCAAGACGUCAAUUUCUUUUUGUAUGGAAGUUUCCAUAUAUUCUUCUAUGGGCAGCAACUUCUUUUCUUCCUUGUAGUCGUGUCUUCCUUAUAUGCAUGGUGGAGGUAACUUUAUAAAAUAAUGCAGCUGUCACUUUCCUUUCUCUAAAAUUUUGGUGAUCUUCCUUCCAAAUAGAUGGCAGCCCGUUUUUUAGAAAAAUAAUAAUAAUAAUCUUAUUUCCAUCCUUCAUUCAGCCGUGAUCUGCUUUCCUUUCUUCAACACUAUAAAUCUCAUUUCCAUGUUGCAUAGAAUAUCCCCACAUAUAUGCAGCCGUGUACAUUACAUCAAGAAUCUUCUCCAAUGUGUGCAUUCGAAUCUCAUGCCAAAAUAAAAAAAGAAUUAAAAUUAGUAAAGGUCAUGAAAUUGAAAAUUAAAACUAAUUUAAAAUUAUGCAAUUAAAAAAACAUUAUGUCUAUCAUAGGUACACAAAAAUAAUUAAGACAUCAGUUUACACAAUUAAUCAUCAAUCUCAUGCAAUAUUCUAUCAAAUAAAUAAAUAAAAACAAAUAACUAACCAAAUAAUAAUAAAUAAACAAGUAAAUAAAUAAAUAAAAUAAAAUAAAAUAGAUAAAUAAAUAAAUAAGAAAUCGAGUACAUGCAAACAUUAAAAGUGCAAAUCAUGCAAAUUAUGUAAGUCAUGUAGGAAUUACUGAAAAGGUGACAUAGGUGGGCCAGGAUGCCUAAGUGGACCUAAAGUGAGUGCGUGUAGGCUAGAAGGUGCCUAGAUGGGUCUAAGCGGGUCAAGGUGAAUCUAAGUGGGCCUAGGGUUGUGCUUAAUGGGCCAAGUGUAUUUAAAAACUAUCCUAAAAAUGAAUGAAAAGCCUAAUUCUAAAUUAAGGCUGCCAAGGGUCACAAUAAGGAGUCAGAUAAUCCCUCAACCAAAGUCUCCGAGAUGGCUCAAAAAAAGUAAGUAGUAUGAGUAGCUAUGGGCCACCAAGGAACUACUGUAAAGUAUCAAAUAAGUAUCUAAUAGGGCAUGUGCUAGGAGGACAAAAUUGAGGGUCUACAAUAGUAUAACUGAAAGUUAUACAAAAUAAUAUUUUAUACCCAGAAGCUAUAAAAUGAAUAGUUCAUAGCUUGAAAUUAUGCACAAAUCUGCACAAUGAAUAGUUUAUAGCCUAAAGUUAUGCACAAAUUUAUAUAAAAAAUAGUUCAUUGCCUAAAACUAUGUACAAAUUUAAAUAUUUUCUUGUUCUAACAAAAUAAUCAUAACUUGAAGCUAUGAAAGAUAUUAACUUUUAAUUUCUUUAUUUUCUUUUAAUUAUAUUGUUGUGGACCCCGCAUUUCGGCUCAAUGUGUUUCCCACUCGAUGGCGAGCUCGAUUUUUAUUAUUUUUGAAAAAUUGAUUUUUAUUGAUUAUUUGAAAAUGACUUGGAGUCGCCACUUAUUUUUGUUUUAUUUUUAAAGGGUAAACAAAAUAAGAAAGAAAAACCCUAAGUGUGACUCCUCAUUUUGGAAAAGGUGAUCUACGAAAAUCGGAUCAGGUUCGGGGGUCAGGUUACUUAUCGGGAAGGUACGGUAAAGACCGUAGCACCCCUCUAAGUCCCUAAGUCGGGUCUCUACUAAUGAGAUGAAGCUGACAUGGCAAUCAAUGAGAAAAUCAAUAAAUACUCGAACCAAUCAUGCACAUAUGAGAGUCAGAAAAUGCAUAUAAACUAACCAGAGUGGGAAUGAAUGUGUACCUGAGCAGCGAGCCACUAUGCGCUAUCAAGAGAGAGGGUUAGUGCAAAAUAAAGAGCAUAAACAUAGCUCACAUGUCACUAAAUCGAGUACAAAAUCAUCAAAGGCACGCAUGACACUUCACUCAAAAUUCAUUUUUAUUUUAAAGAAAAUUUAUUUGAUGUUGGGCCCUCACCAAAGCCCAUUUAUUUUGCACGAAUCAAUUCCAUAAAUCCCAUCACCUGAGAAUUACAAAAUUUGAUUUUUGGCUUAUUUUAAAACAUUUUAAAAUCAGAGAAGUUAUGAAAGUUGCAUGCCGAAGAGAGAUGGCGGCAAAUUUUAUUAAAAACAGAAUUUUGGAACCUAAAGAAAACCUAAGGAUGAAAGAUGGUAAAUAUUGAAAUUAUUUGAAAAUCGAUGUUUAAAAAAGUUAUUUGCAAGAAAGGAGUCAGAAAAUUAUUUUCUAAGCCAAAAGAUUGAUGGAAUGGGAGGUGACACGUGACCCAAAGGUGGCCAUGCAGAGAAAAUCCCAUUAUUAACCCACUUUGAAGGAGUGUUCUUUCUCUUAUUUCCUUUCUCAGUACAACGAGCCUGAUUUGAGGAAAAAACUGAGUCAACUUCCAGAUUUAGGGCCUCUCAGCAAUCCUUGAUUUGAUCUAUUCUGGGUUCGACAAAAGAUCUUCCCUCUGCAUCUCAAUCUCUCUUUCCUGGUUCACAAUCUCCUUGGGAACAUCUUCUAUAACAAGAGAUUGCACUUGAGGACAGGCAACAACUUGCAUGGCCAGGUCAUCAAUUAGCUUCACUUCUUAUCUCUCAAUUCGCAUCUUCAACAGUUUUCAAGCAUAGAGUCUCCUUUCCAGCCUCACCUUGGCCUCCUGAGUUCCAUUGCUUCUUGCAUCACUCGCCUCGCUUUACAGCAUGUGAAGUCCUGUACUUCCACUGGAGCCCAUGCUAAACUGGCUAUGGAUGGCUUGAUGGAGUUGCUGCCGAAGAUGAAAUGAGUAAAGGGCCCCUAAGUUAAACCCAUCAUGUCGUCCCAUAGGAAAAUGCUGAAAUUGCAUCAUAGAUACAACACUAUCACAAAGUUAUUCUUUCCGGUGAGGGUCCAUAGGAAAAUCAGUAAUUCCACCCUUAAAUCCUGGUAAUACAGGAAAAUCUUCAUUCUGGAUACUGAAUUCUCAGUUUUGAUGGACAACUCCAAUGCUUUGUUUCCACAGAGAACCCAGCUAUCCUUGAAAACUACCAGCAGAAUUGGGGUGAGCGAUCAGUUGGGGAAGACAGCAACAACACGCACUGAAUUUGUGACGAAACAUCUGAAAAGCGGGAUACUAGCUGAUGAAGAGUGUAGCUGAACAAGUGAUGAGAAAAUUACUGACAGCACGGUGUGGGUCGCCAUGGAUGGCACUCUAUAGACGGGACUGUGGUCUGGGAAUGAGGCUCUCCGAUGUGAAUAAUCGGUAUCUUAAAGGCAGUCUCAUCAGUUAUAACUUGGGGAUGCAAACCGCACACCCAUAUCAAUGAAACCAAUGAUAACAUACUCUUGAUCCUUGAUGGAAUAUCAAUCUAACGACAUAGGAAUCCCAGGUCAAUCUGUGAAACAAAGGGACCUCAAGGUGAAUGGUCAGCAGUGCAUUUUCGUCGUCCUCACGGAAAUUGAUGUCACAAACGGGCCUUCAUGAUUGGAUUUUCCUUUUCACUGUUCCAUUGAGGAUGGUAUUUCCCAUGCAUUUUUCCAUUUUGCAUGAAGAUGAGAAACUUCAGAACAAAUCUCAGCAGCAUAUGUACGUGCCAAAUCCUCUCUGAAAAGACACGGUUGCGAAACAGAAAGAGUGACCCCCAUUUACAAAAUCUGACGAAAGGCACAGUCGAUGUUUGGUCUGAAAUGAGUAUCGGAGCUGGAUAAUGAAAGGGUGAUGAGUUGGAGUGGUUUUGGGUGCUAAUGUAGAGUGAGAACUGUGAUGACGGGUAUCAGUGGGUGAUGGCAUCCAUGAGUGAGAAAUGGAUAUGCAUGAAGGGGUGUGGUGUAGAAAUGGAAAAGGUGGCGGAGGAUUCAUGAAGGUGUAGGGCUAUGGGCAUGGUGGUGUGGGAUUCCAUGAUGUGGAGAUAAGAGUGUGGGCAUGGUGAGGAUCUUACAAGUUGAUGGAAAAUGGUGAGAGAGGAAUGGAUGAUGAAUUGCAUGAAAAGUGGUUUGCAUAUGGUACAACAGUGGGAGAAAUGUGUAGGUGGGUAUGCGGUACAAAAAAAGGAAUGGGUAUAGCAAGCAUGAGGUGUGAUAGCUGGUGCAUGAUGACAAGAGUGAUGGUGAGCUUGAGGUGGGUUUGAUGCCGUGGAUGCAUGCAUGGGAGUGAUGGUAUGAGAUGUUGGAAGUGGGCAUGGGAAUGGUGGUCAAUGAGAAGGGUGAUCACACAAAUGAUGGAUACGAGUAUGGGGUAACAUGAUGAGCAAGCGGGCAUAGAGAAUAAAGAUGAAGGGCCCAAACCAUACUUCACCAGCUAUCUUAAGAUAAUCCAAAUCACCAGCACUAAGGGGUUGCCUUGAAGAGAGGAGUAAACUGUGAAUCUGAACUUGAUAUUUUGCCAUAAUCAACAGAGGGUCGUGCCAACAUGAGAGACCCAAAGACAGAACCAAUACCACUUCCAACAACACUGAAGACCUGAAUAACUUGAAGAUCGGUACAGUUAUUAGCCAGGUUUCUGAUGCAAUUUGAACAGAGGUUGAUAUUCUCUUUCCCAAUGAUAUAAUGGCCACAGGCAAAGUUAUUGAUAGCGUCCUCCUUGACACUGAUGAAUUGCUCUGAACGAAAAGGGUUGCCUGUGUGCUCCAAGCUCCACUUAAUUAGUUACAGUAGGCUCAAAGUAUGCUGGAUUGGCACGAAAGACAUGCUCCCUAGCAUCGGUUUCAUCUCAAUCUCUUUUGGAUGACCAUAAUAGGUACCAAAGAAGCCAUGGUUGCUCAACCUGGUUCGAAUCUUCCCAAAGACUCUAGUACCGAUUUCCCUUAGAAACGCCCAAUCUCAAACGGCCGAUCCAAACAAAACAACCAACACUCCAAAAGAAUACCAAAAACAGAGGAGAAAAUAUUGAAAGAAUGACACAAAAUAAAGCGAGGAAAGCAUAUUUUCAGAAGUUUCAUUUCAUGAAUCAUCCAUGAACCCUCUGAUUAGGUGAGAAAGACCCAUCUCCCAACACGACUACAAGCACUCAGCAUAACAGAGACUAUCAUACUCAAACCAGCAGUGGAUAAAAAUGAAUGCAAGAUUUAAUCUCAACAAACAACAAAGCCGCCUUCAUUAUCUACCCCAAAACAAACCAAAUGAGUAUCCAAAUAUCAAAAAAAAAAAUAUGUAGAAGAAUGACAAACGUACCUGAAAAUCUCUUUCUCAACCAAGUAUAUGGGGCUUCAAAUCCACUGCUCUGUUUCUAGCUUGCUCUUUAAGUCAAAACCUUCCUCUGUAACUUGUUUGCCUUCCCAGAGUUUGAACCUCUUUGCUUCCUCAAAACUCAAGAAGACCUCUCUUCUCAAAACAAUAUCCUCCUAAACGGUCAGAAAAAUUACCUUUUCUCUCCUCUCAGACUAACACUCUCUCCUCCCCCUCCCCCAAUGGAACCUCUCCUAUUCUCUCUCCUCUAUUUUUCCUCCAGUAGCAAAAACUUGAAUCUCAAGCAAGAAAAUCGUCUCUGAAUGUGAAUCUCUCCCCUCUCCAGCCAAACUUCGGGAAGGAAACCACACUCCUCACAGCAGAAAAAUGGCUAUCACCCUCACUCUCAGUAAGAAAACUCUCCCAAGAAAAAAGCUCUCUCCCCCUAGAAAAUCUCCUUUCGCAGCCCAGGCACUUCACCUUCUGAAACUUAGAACUCUCUGAAAAACCCCGCCUGGAACCCCCACUCUCUUGACCUCCAAGCCAAAGGAAAAUCCCCCUCACGGCUCUCUCAUCACUGCAAAAAUCCCGCACCUCCCUCCAGAAUAUCUUUUUUUUUUUUUUUUUUCUCCUCUAUAACAACUUUUCUUUUUCUCCCGGAUUUGCCCCUCCAACCCACUCUGCCGCAACAGCCCCCUUCCUCUACACCACCCCUCUGCUAAUAACAGAAGACGCUCCUCAAGACAACGGCCUGCAGAUCCUCAUGCCACCUGUCAACCUUCCAUUGGCAUCCUAAAAGCAUCAUCUGAUUCUGCACCAGCCUCUCAAGAGAAGACACGUGGUGGAGCAAGGCUCUUCCACGUGGCAAAAUGAGCAGCUGCCUGAAUGGCCCCAAAUGGGGGGUCUACAAUUGUGUAACUGGAAGUUAUACAUAAAUAGUUCAUAGUCUGAAGUUAUGCACAAAUUUACAUUAAAAAAAAAAGUUGAUAACCUGAAUCUAUGUAUAAAUUUGCAUAUUUUCUUGUUUUGACAAAAUAAUUAUAACUCAAAGUUAUGAAAAAAUAUUGGCUUUUAAUUUUUAUUUCGUAUUCACUUAUUUUUCACAAUAGAAAUUAUGGAAAACAAUUUUUAUUAACAAUUCUUUCAUAGCCAGAAACUAUGCAAACAAUUUCUAAUUCUCUUGUAUAACCAGAAGUUAUACAAAACAAAAUUGUCAAUGAACAACUAUGUACCUAGAAGAUAUAUAAUUUUUUUUAAAAUUUUGUUAUAUAACCAGAAGUUAUAUCAUAAUAUAAUUGUCAAUUGUUUAAUGUUAUUGUAACAUUACUUAAAUUUUAAUUAUUCAUAACCUGAAGCUAUGAAGAAAAAGUUAGUAAAUUAAUAAUUGUUAGAGCUUGUAUAGCAAGAAGUUAUAUGAAUAUAUAUAUAUAUAUAUAUAUUAUAUAACCAAAAGUUAUAUAAAUAUUAUUAUUCAUAAACCGAAGUUAUGAAAAUAAGAAAAUUAAUAUUCUUUGUGCUAAUAAAAUGUUAUGUCAAAGUUGGUAAUAUGUACUUUUUUAUAGUUAGAAGCUAUAGAGAACAAAAUUGUUAACUAACAAUUUUGUACAACUUUAUGAAAUUUAUAUGACCAAAACUUAUAAUGAAAUAUAUUAUAGCUUGAAGCUAUGAUAACAAGCAUAUAGAUAAUAUUUACAUAUUAUCAAAAGAUUAAUAUUUUGUAUAUCAAGUUAUACAAAUAGACAAUUGUUUGAUAGUUUUUAUAAAUUUCUAUUAUUAGAAGUAUACUGUCAUUAGUAGAAAAAUUUAUAUAUAGAUGUGGAAUUUUGAAUUGCAUGAAAGUAUGAUAUUUUUGUAUUAUAGGUGAUAGUUUGGAAUAUUUUUUUUAUUCUAGUUAUUUAAUAUACAAUAAUAUUUUGAUUUAGAAAUUUGAGAUUUUUUGGGUACAUGUGAAAUAUAUGACUUGGUCAUAUGAUUAAUAAAUUGAUUUCGCAUGUCUUAUUUGUUUAUAACAUGUUUUUAUGAUUGAAAAUUUUUGAGUUGUAUAAAAUAAUAUAUAUUAUUGCAUGUUGUCACAUAUGAUAUUUUUAUUAAUGCAUUAAUUUCAUUAUUCAAGAAUAUCUUUUCAGAAACAAUACAUUCAACUAUUAUUUUUAAUAUAUUAUGUUAUAUCUUUACAUACAUAUUUAUAUAGAUUUGUAAUGUUUCGAUUUAAGUUUUGAAACAAUAAGAUGCUUUAAAUCAUGAUAUGUUCUUUUGAAAUUUUGAUUUAUGAAUUAAUUUCUGCACAUUGAUUUAUAUCGUAAUAAUAUUUUGAAUAAAAAUUAUUGAUCUAUCACUACAAUUAGUUUGAUUAUUGAAAGACUUCCUAGUUAUUUCAUAUAUAAAUUGUUCCACACUUAUAAAAUCAAAUGUGUGAGAUAUUUAAGAAACAAAUAACUUUAAAUUAUCUUUUUCAUAUUUGUUUUGUUGUGUUAUAUAUGCUUUCAUUGUUUUUACACAACUUAUUAAGGUAAGUCAUCAUCGAUGACUAGUAUAUUUCCAUUUGAUUUUAACUCUUUUUCUAUGAUAAUAUUUCUUCAACUCUAUAAAGGUGAGGUCUUUAUGACAUGUUUUAUGACUUGUUAUUUUGAUGAAACUCUUGUCUCAUUAAUUGCACAACAUUGAUGACAGACAAUGUUAAUACUAUAUCAGGUGAUAGAAACCUAAUUAAAGGCUCCAGAAUAACUUAUACUAUGUCAUUAGUAGUAUUUGAUUCUAUGUGAAUGACACUUUAUACGAUGCUAGAUCCAGAAGAAUCUUGUAAGACCAACUUAGUUCCCCAUGGUAAAAGGUCGUAUGGAUGUACAUUAUAAAACCAGAAGUUUUUAUUUUGUAACUAGUCUAUCUAUACACUUGAAAGAUAGAAUGACACGUUGUGCAAAUUAUCAUUUUAAUUAGACAAUUUUCUCGCCGUUAGGGGUAGAAGAGUCAAUUCCAGAAGAACAGCGUGAAAUUAUUUGGAAUGCAUUGACUUUGACUUAUCUUGAUCCUCGUACUAAUCAAUGUGAAGUGGAAGUUCAAAAGAUUAUUUAUUUGCAAGAACUUGUAAAUCAACUACUAAAUGUUUUCAUUGAUGCAAAGAAAGUGACGAUCAUUUUCACUUACCUAGAACAUUCCAGUACGAAUUAAUGUCCCUGAAUGACAAUUAAAUAAUGCGUUGAUGUCCCUGAAUGACGAUUAAAUAAUGAGUUGAUGUCCCUGAAAGACAAUUAAAUAAUGAGUCUAAUGCACACUUGUAGACCCCCUUUUAGGUCAUUCCUACCUUGCAGCUCAAUUUUACCACGUGGAAGAGCCUUGGUCAGCCACGUGUCAGCACCUGAGAAGCCAUGAGAGAAUCAUAAUAGUGGUUUGGGGAGCCAAUCAGGAGGUGACGCGUACAUGGGAAUAUACUGGCCGUUAGAGGAGCAGAUGCUGGCAGCUGGAGGUGAGGUGCUUUUGGAGAGGUUGCCAGCUGCAGGAAGGGGGUGUCGUCUGGCAGCUAGAGGAGCUCUCUGAGCAGGCCGUUAGAGAUUUUUUUUAGGUGAGAGAGGGAAGCUAAGAAGAGGAAAAAAAAAGUCAGAGGAGAAAGGGGUGAGAGUUUGAGGAGAGUUUGAGAGAGAAAAGAGAACCUGAGGGAAAACGAGACAAGAAGGCUGGUGAUAGGGAAGCUGACAGCUGCGGGAAGGUGGUCCGGGCUGCCGUUGGGUGAUUUUUCGAAGGAACGUUUGAGGCUGGAAUAGAACAUCGGCACUCUCAGGUAUGAAAGCAAAAGGUUUAUUGUUAGUUUUUUAUUCUUAUUGAUCCUCCAUAGUUGCUGUUGAUAUUUUGAAUGUUGUUUAGUUUGUUGGGAUGAAAUCUUGCUUUCACGGUUGUCAUUGCUGAUUUUGGUAUACUCUGCUUCUAUUAUGAAUGUGCCUCAAUGUUGUGUUUAAAAUGGAUUUUCUCACCUAAUCAAAGGGUUCAUGGAUGGCUCAUGAAAUGAAACCUCUGAAAACCUUUACUCGUUUUCUUUUUGUGUUUUUUUUUGUUUUGUUUUUUUUAUUUCAAUGGGUCCUUCUUUUGUUGUGGCCAAUAUUCUGCUUCUGGGUCUCGUUUAAUGCCAUGGCUGUGAGAAGAGGUUAUUUUGGGUUAAAGAAGCAAACAAGUUGCAUGAGGCUACUUUUGGCUGUUAGAGGGGAAUAUUUUUGAGGGAGUAUUCUUUCUGGGAAAGGGAAAAACGAGUUGUUGAAGCAGCUCCACACCAGAAAAAGGUGAAGGGAAUAGAGACGGAGCCCUUGCAGAAAGAGUGAACCCAUCUUUGAACUCUAUUCAGCUCACGUUUUGACCCAAAAUCUAUUCAAUAUCACUGAAGACAACGUGGGAAAUCUCUGUAUGUCACUCGAAACUGAACAGUAGAAGAAUUUGUGGGACGAUAUUGAGGAAGUAGAAAGGCUUGAAUGUAUUAAAAUUCUCAGAGGUGUACUAUGCACCAGGGCCUGUCUUGAGGGGAUAGUUUCUUGGCUAGUUUCAUGCUGGUAUUGGGAAAAGUAUUGGGGUGCUGCUCAUGACUUGAGUGAGGGAGAGAGAUCUACAAAGAGGGAAGUUGCUGGUUUUGACGACAUUAGAGGAGGAUUCAGGGCAUUUAAAACAGAGGAGGUUUCUGGAAAGAACAAGGAGGGCAUUGUGAGGGAUUCUGGCAGAGAGCGAGAGGGGAGGAUUCUGUUAGCUAGGGGACAGUUUCUUUGCCUGAGGGCAAGUUGUAGGGAAAAGGGGGAGAGGAAGAAAAGGAAAACGGGUGGCAGCUGAGAGGAUUUGUGAGGAGAAUAGGAUGCACAGUUGAAUGACAUGCAGCCAUGGAACUCCGUGCCUUUGAUUUUGGUGUGCCUUAAUGGAGGAAUUAUUUUUUUAAUGAGAGAACUCACAUGUGGCAGUUCAAUGGCUGAAAUUCUUCAAAAAAAAAAAAAAAAGUCAAUGAGUUAAAGUGGUUAUACAUGGAGAAAUUAAUGGUUGAAAUUCAAACGGGUGUACGUGGUGGGUUUUUGGAAAUUCAAUGAUGAAUAUUCAAGGCAUUUGAUAGUGCACAUCAACUAGCGAGUCGGCAAUCCGGAUGCACAGUUUUUGGUUUGUUUUUAUUAAUUUCACUUGCUUUUCAUAUUUUAAUUUUUCUUUUAAUAGAAAAUUGUUCGAGUGACUUUGGUUUGCUUUUAAAGAUCGAUUUUAAAUUCUACUUUAAUGUUUAAUUCUUUAACUUCUUUUAAUUCAUCCUUAGCAUUCCUAAUUUACUAAAAUCCAAUCUUAAUAAUCAUCCUUAGCAUUCCUAAUUUACUAAAAUCCAAUCUUAAUAAAUCAUUUGUUAUCGUAUUUCUUUUCCACUUAUGCAUGAAUUGCAUGGCCACCUUUUAGGCCACGUGUCACCUACUGUUUCAACAUCUUCGACUAAAACCCUCUUUUGUAAAUAAUUUUUAAAUUCUGUUUUUUUUUUUAAAUAAUCCUAAAAUCUAGGUUUUUUUUUUAAAAAAUUUCAAAUAACUUCAAUUUUUUUUUGAAUUUCAUCAUUAGAGUUUUUAGGUCCCGAAAAUCCGUUUUCCAAUAAAAUUCGUUGCCAUUUUUCUUCGGCAUACAUUUUUCGUUACUUCCAUGCUUUUAAAAUAUUUUAAAACAAGCAUAGAUUCAAUUCCGUAAUUCCGAAUAACAGGGUUUAUGGAAUUAAUUCAUGCAAAAUAAACGGGCUUUGGUGGGGGCCCCACAUAUGUGAUUUAUGAUCGAUUAACUGAUUGAUUGAUUUAAUUGUCAUGCAUGAUUGAUUUAUUCUGCUCUAUGACAUGCUCGAAAUUAUUUCUUAACUAUGCACUAACCCUCCUCUUGAUAGCGCAUAUUGGUUCGCCACCCAGGUAUGUAUUUUCCUGCAUCAUGGUCACUCCUUAUGCUUGUUUCUAAUUCUCAUAUGUGCAUGAUCGAUUUGGGUCUUCAUUGAUUUUCUCAUUGGUUGCCAUGUCAACUUCAUUUUAUUAGUAGAGACCCGACUUUAGGGACUUAGAGGAGUGCUACGGUCUUUACCGUACCUUCCCGAUAAGUAACCUGACCCCCGAACCCGAUUCGGUUUUUUGUAGAUCACCUUUUCCAAAUAAGGAGUCACACUUAGGGUUUUUCUUUCUUAUUUUGUUUACCCUUUUGAAAAUAAAACAAAAAUAAGUGGCGACUCCAAGUCAUUUUCUUAAUCAAUAAAAAUCAAUUUUUCAAAAUAAAAAUCGAGCUCGCCAUUCGAGUGGGAAACGCAUUGAGUCGAAAUGCGGGGUCCACAACACUUGAAGCGUGGUAAACCCUGAAAAGGCAAACAAAUUCCUUUAAAAGAAAAACACAAGGAAAGAUAUAUGAAAUGUGACACUCUUGAAGAAGUCGCAUAUAAAAUGAGUUAUUAAAAUGAUUGAUCAAUCUCAAGCAGCCCCUAAAGAGGCACAGUUUAAACAAGUAGCCUUAUGAUAGGUAUAUGUUUAAUAAUUAGUUCCUGAAAAUGUACAAGUACCUGAUAUUGAUGAGAUCUCAAUUAUUUACUUAUAUAUGAAAAAAAAAUGGGAUUGAAAUACUCUUGUCAUUAACAAUAUAUUUUCUUUCCAAAUAGCUGUUGACAUCAUAAGAAUUGAUGAGGAUCCCAAAGUAGAAACUAUGAAUGAAUGUCAACAUAGAAAAGAUUGGCCAAAAUGGAAAGAAUACAUCCCAAAAAAAUUAUACUCAUUAGAAAAAUGAGAAGUAUUUGAACCUGUAGUCCAAACGCCUGAAGUUGUCAAACUUAUUGAAUAUAAAUGAGUAUUUAUAAGAAAGUGUAAUGAGAAAAAUGAAAUCACGAUAUAUAAAAUGUGACUCAUAGCUCAAGGUUUUCCGCAGAAACCUAGUAUUAACUAUGAGGAAACAUAUUCUCCUAUGAUGGACGCAACCAUAUUUAGAUAUCUAAUUUGUUUAACAGUCUUAGAAUGACUAGAUUUGCGUUUCAUGAAUGUCAUUAUUGCAUAUUUACGUGAAUCUUUAGAUAAUCACACACACACACACACACACACACACACACACACACACACAUACAUAUAUAUAUAUAUAUAUAUAUAUAUAUAUAUACGAAAAUCCUUGAAGGAUUUCAAAUACUUGAAGCAACUAAUUCAAAAUAUUGUAGCAUAUACUCAAUUAAGUUACAAAGAUCCUUGUAUCAAUUAAGCAAUCUAAAAACAUGUGAUACGAUCACUUCAAUGAAUAUUUGAAGCGAGAAGUAUGUAUGUAUUACCUUAUUUAUUUAUACAUAUUCAUUAUAUUGAAUUUUUGCAAUUAUUAUAGUAUAUGUGGAACAUUGAAUUUUUUUGGAACUCCUGAAGAGCUUACAAAAAUAGUUGACUAUUUAAAAAUUAAAUUUUGAAAUGAAAGAUCCUGGAAAACAAUUUUUUUUUCCUCGACCUGCAGAUCGAGUAUUUUUCAAACGAAAUAUUAGUUUAUUAGUCAACAUAUACAAAGAAAUUCUUGAAGCACUUUCAUAUGGAUAAAUCACAUCCAUUAAGUUCUCUGAUGAUAGUUCAUUCACUUGAAGUGAAAAAUGACCCUUUUUGUCCUAAAGAAGAUAAUAAAAAACUAUUUGGUCCAAAAAUACCAUAUUACAGUGUUAUUGGUGCAUCGAUGAAUCUUGCAAAUUAUACAUGACCAGAUAUUGCAUUCCUUGUUAAUUUACUUGUGAGAUAUAGUUCUACACCAAUUCAAAGACAUUGGAAUAAAAACAAGCAUGUACUACAAUAACAUGGGUCUAUGUUAUUCCAAAUGAUCAGAAUCUUAAGUGCUUGAAUAUGUAGAUGUUGACUAUCUUUCACACCCCCACAAAGCUCGAUCUUAAAUGAGGUAUGUAUUUAUCUAUGGUGGUACGACAAUAUCAUGGAGAUCAAUCAUGCAAAUAAUGGAAACAUGUGGACUACCCUCCAUCAAAGGUAAUGCUACCAAGUUAAUAAUGCUGCAUGUAUUGCACAAAUUAAAGAAUGAUACAUUAAGGGUGAUAGAAUUAAGCACAUAUCGUCCAAGUCUUUUACUUUCAUUAACUCAAGAAUAGUGAUGAAAUUGCUAUUCGACGAAUAAAAUCAAGUGGCAAUUUAGUAUAUCUAUUCACAAAGGCAUUGUCAAUUACAAUACUCAAGAAGCUCAUUGGAAUACGCCGACUCAAAGAUCUCCAUGUUGUACUACUAGAGAAAAUAUAAUCAUGUCAACAUGAGGGGGAGCUAAUUGAUAAAAAUAUCACUACGCUACACUCUUUUUUCCUUCAUCCAAGUUUUGUCUCAUUGGGUUUUACUGGCAAGGUUUUUAAUAAGACAAUUGUGGUAAUCCAAAAAAAUAUUGUACUCUUUUUCUUUCACUAGGGUUUUUCCUAGUAAGGUUUUAAUGAGACAUAUUCUUAUGAUCAUACAAGGAGGAGUAUUAUAAAAUAUGAGAUUUUGUAUCACUAUGGUAACUUGUGGAUGAUCAUUCAUAUUAAUAUACAUCUCUUUGUAACUCCCUAUAAAAGGGAGAUACCUCUAAUGAAAAUUAAUCUGGUUCUCUUCCAACAUUUUGUUAUACUUUUCUUUGAAUAUCUUUGUUUAUUCUCUCAUAUUUUCUUUUUCUUCUUCUUUUUAUUUCACAACUGUGGACCCGCAUUUUUCACGUGCGCCCCCACUUGAUCGACGAGACUCGCUUUUUAUUGUGAAAAAUUAAUUUUAAAAAAAAGUUGGAGUCGCCACUUAUUUUAUUUUUUAUUUUUGAAGGGAAAAUAAAACAAGAAAUAAAACCCUAAAAAAAAUGACUCCAUAAUUUUUGGAAAAGCGUGUCUUUGAAAACCCAAGUCUUGGUCCGGGGAUCAGGUUACUUAUUGGGAAGGUACCUCUAGGAGGUAGCACCCCUCUAAGCCCUAAAGAGGUCUCUACUAACUAAGUUAAGGGAAGCGUGGCAAUUAAAUGGUUGACCUCGGGUACCUAAGUAGGCUAGGUGAUUCCAAAAAAAACAUAACAUAUCAAACAAAAUCAAAUCACAAUUAAGGAGAGUUAAAAAUGCGUACCUGGACAGCCUCCCAAGCGCUAUCAUAAAACAUAAGAGAUUAGUUUGGAGAUACAUCACACAACAUUGUUUUAUCAAAGAUAAUCAAACAAUCAUCAAAUGUAUAUCAAGGCAAUUAAAGAGGAUAGCAAGCAUGGGCAUACAUAUUCAUAGGGUUUAGAAAGUGGGUAUUAGGGAACGUACCUGGAUAGCAUAUUUAAUUCCUAAUGCGCUUCCACAAAACAUGAGAGGUUAGAUAACAAACAAUAAAAUAAGAAGUCCUAGCAUGCUCGUUAUCUAAUUAUCAUAGCAUAAAUUGUCAAAAUAUAUGAAAACAAUAAUUAUCACACUCAUCUUGUAUACAAUUUCUAAAAAAAAGAUAGAUAUAAUUUCAAAAAGUGACAAAAAUGGCAACAAAAAUAAUUUUUGAAAAGAUUUUCUUAUGUAGGGGUUUCACCAAUUCCCCAAAUUAAUAUACACAAAUUUAGCCCAGAAUUAUCCCAUUAUUUGGGACCACAAGCUUUGAUUCGUGUUUUUGUUCAAAACCAAACUUUUUGUUAGAAACUGAGAAGGAUGCAAACCGAACAAAAAAAUGGUUGCAUAUUAUUUUAAGAAAAUGAGAUUUUUUUUAUUCCAAGGACUCUAAAUGAAUUUUUUUUUUAAAAUAGGUUUUUAAAGGGAUCUUUUAAGGAAAGUGUUGGAUUUCAAAAUAAAAAGAAAUUAAUUUGAAAAUGACAAGACAUAAGGAACAAAAUACCAAGCAAAACAAAAGUGAUUAAAAUCGCAAAGUAGAGUUUUUGACAACUGAGAAAAUUGAAGUGGUGAGAAUGGAGGUCAAUCUUCCCUAUUUUCCGAUGGCCUCCGAAAAGUAAAUUUUACUAGAGAUUACCAAAGCAAUAAACUACUCAAACUCAGGUCAAAUAAGCUAACGAGAUACCCACCAAGAAUUAAUGACGAAUAUUUAAGAAACACAUCCAUUAAGAAUAAAAAUCAAGAAUUAGCAUGAGAUCAAUUAACCACACAAACACAUCUAGAUUUAUUAAAAUGAGACAAAUUAAAUCAAAGCAAACAAUAAUUUUCAAACAUAGAAUUAACUUUAUUAAUGAAGUAAUUUUAUAUAAAAUACUUAAAUCGAAUAGAUGAGUGAAACUAAAUCAGGGUAAACUAAAGGCAUGAAUUUUCAAAUAUAGAAUUGAUUUUAUUAAUGACCUAAAAUUUUACAAACUCCUAAAAUACUUAAAAUGAAUCAAUUUAAACAAAAGGAAACUAAAACAAAAUAUGGAUUUAGGGAAUCUAAUUUCAAAAUAAACUUACAUUAUUAAAAUGAAACCUAGGCUUAAAAUGAAUUAAACACUAAUUAAAGUCAAUCUAAACUUAAAUUCUUAACAUACAUGAUCAAUUAUUUUAACAAAUUAAAAUUUUACAAGAGCACCUAAACCUAAAGUUAUAUAAAAACACUAACAAGAACAGAUUUUUAAAAUUAAAUCUCUAACCUAUAAAAAUUAGUUUUAUUAAUAAAUAAAUGAAAUAGGUAAUGCAUGACUAAAUAAGUAUAGCUAAAACAAAAUACGGACUCAUGGAAUUAAUUUUUUUUUUUUUUUUGUGUAUAAACUUACAUUACUGGAAUAAAAUUUGAGCUUAACAAAUGUUUUUAACACUAAUUAAGGUAAGUUUAAAAUCUAAUAUUUAACAUAUAAAAAUCAAUCAUUUCAACAAACUAAAAUUUUACUUAAACCUAAAACCAAUUCAACCGACCUACAACAAUUUUUUUUUUUUUAAACUGAAUUUUUAGCCCAUAGGAUCAAUCUUAUUAAUAAAUAAAUAAAUUACAAAGAAUUAAAUUAAUAGCAAAUAAAUAAAUAAAUAAUCAAUAAUUAAAUGAAUCAAAACUAAAUUAAAUAAAGAUCAACUAUAUAUUUUUUUUCAAGUAAAGCUACAUAAAAUUGUAUUUUAUGAAUUGAAUAUAAUACAUCAAAACUAACCUUAAACAACACUAAUCUUUAAUGUAAUAAAUCAAAAAAUUAAACAAAAAGUGAGAUUGUGCUCCCAUAUUAAAACGAAUACAUGCUGGAGCCAAUAAAACAAAUCAACCCACUCAACCCAAUAUAAUAAUCCAACUUUAAAUAGUACAUCACAAGACAUCAAAGUUCCACCCAAUGUAAUAAAUAAAUAAAAAAUUAAACCAAAAGUGAGAUUUUGCUGCCAUAUGAAUACAUGUUGGAGCCAAUAAAACAAAUCAACCCACUCAACCCAAUAUAAUAAUCCAACUUUAAAAAGUACAUCACAAGACAUCAAAGUUCCACUAAAAACUCAUAAAAAAAUAACUAACUUACCUAGUUGGCUUACCAAAAAAAACCUGGUGGCAUGUAGUUGCUUUCUCUUCCCUAAUGAUGCUCGGGAACAAUGGUAUUGGUUGAUGGGAACUGAUGAGUUUUGGUUCUUCAGCCAAUACUCUUAUUUCAAAUCAACAAAGCUCGUCUCAAGGAACGGUAAGUAUAAAUUUAAGAACCCCGCAACUGGUUUUCAAUUAUUUUGAUAGCCAAUAAAAAAUGGAUAAUGUGUUCCAGAAGUUGGACGAACAUGAGGACGUAUGGCAGGAGAAUGGAGAAAAGCAAAUGUGCGGCCUGGUUGUGUAGUUGACGAUGAUGGGAAUUGGAGGAUUCUCUGUUUUUAAGGAUAUGUGGAUGGAUGGACUGCUGUCCAGAUGGUUCUCGAUUUUCAACCAAAGGAAGAUUCAGAAGACUCAUGCGACAGGAAAAUUCAGAUGACGCAAACACCAACUUCGGCCUGGCUACGUCAACUUCAGCAGCGGGGUUGACCAAAACGAUCUGGGUGUUCAGGAUCUAACCAUUGGUGAGUUCAAAUGUUGUCUCCCUUCUUUCCCUUCCAAAUCUUCCCGUUCCCUCUCCUCUAUACCUUCCCAAUCGCGGGGUGAAUAGCCGAUGAAUCACCAAACAGUUGCGUAUGUGGGUUUCCCCAAAACAACUUAUCUCUGCUCUAAAAAAAAAAACCUCCCUCUCUCGUGUGUCUUCCUUCCUUUUCUUUUCUUUUCCUUCUUCUUCCUCUUUUCUCAAUCUCUCCGACUCCUCUCUAGCCACCAGUGAUCGAAGGCACCGUAGCCAAGGUUUUCCUCUUUUCUGAUCAUUUUUUUUUCUCUUCUUGAAUGCAAAAAAAUAUUUUCUUUCUUUCCUGGUGCAGCUGCCACUUCCCUCUAGAGAAUCAUUUCCUUCUCAAUGGUCCCGUUGACUCUACCAAUAUGGAAAAAAUCCCUCACCGGUCUAGAGAAAACCCGUAAUCUUCCGCAUCAGUCCAACAUGAUUAGAACCCUACAUUUUGAACCUAGCCUUCAUUUCCAUCCCUAUACACACCGAACAUCUUCUUUUCACCUGCCAAAAUCAGCUUUGGUAAGUUUCUAAACCUUCCCAUCUCUCUCUUUCUUCCCUUUUUCAUAUCUGUCUUGGGUUGAAUGCUCUUUCAAAUCACGGUCGAAUCUCCCUUCCAUAGAACCCUGCAAUAAAAAUAGUAAAAACAAAAUCAUCCAAUUAAAUAGUAAUAAUAAUAAUAAUAAUAAUAAUAAUAAUAAUAAAUAAAUAAAUAAAUAAAUAAUAAUAAUAAUAAAGAUGAUUAAUCAUAUACAUGUACAAGAUAACCAAAAUAUUAUUUCAUGAUAAAGAAACAUAACGUUAGUAUCUUAUAAUCUCCUAAAAAUAAAUAAAUACAAGAACAAAUAAACUAAAACCCACUUAAAACAAAAAUCAAACAAAUAGAAUUCCAGAAGACAAACCUUAGUGUACUAAGCUUAAAGAACUACCCAAGGGAUUCUAAGUGGGCCUAAAGUGGUGCUUAAUGGACCUAGCCUUCCUAAGUGGGCCUAAGUGGGCUUAGAGUGGGCCUAAGUGUAUCUAAGUGAACCUAGGAUGCCUAAGUGAGCUUAAAGUGGUGCCUAAUGGGUUAGGCAUGUCUAAUGGGCCUAAGGUGUACUAAGUGAACCUAAGGUGCCUAAAUGGGCCUAAGGUGACUAAGUGGGCCUGAAGUGUCUAAAUGGGCCUAAAGUAAUCUAAUGGGCCAAGUGUACCUAAAUGGGCCUAGGGUUACCUAAUGGGCCAAGUGUGGUGCCUAAGUGGGCCUAAAGUGCCUAAGUCUAAAUUAGAGCUGCCAAAGGUCACAAUAAGAUGUCAAAUCAUCCCCCAACCAAAGUCUCCAAGGUGGCUUAGAAAAGAUAGGCUACACGAAUAUUAACGGGCCACCAGGGAAUUGUUAUAAACGACAUGUGCGAGGAAGACAAAAUUGAGGGUCUACAACAACAUAUAUAUAUAUAUAUAUAUAUAUAUAUAUAUAUCAAACUAUAAUUAUAUAAUUUUUUUUAAAUGUAUAAAUCCAUUUUAUUUUUUUAUUAGCUUAAAAUUUUUAUUUUUAAAUAUAGAAAUGUAUUUUUGUUAAAAAAUUAUAUUUCAUAUUUUUGUUCCAUUAUUACUUUUAUUCUUUCUUUUUUGUUUGAUUUUUGCAUGUUAUGUUGUCCAUUUUUCGUUUUUAUUUUUUUCAUUUUUUUAUUUGGAAAAAAAUAAAUAAAAUAUAAUUAAUAGUGACAAAUGAAAAGAGAAAAAAGAAGAAAUGUUGAAAAAUAAAAAUAAAAUUGGUCAUUUUCGUGCAUUUUAUUUUAUUUGUGUGUUUCGAUUAUUCUCCUUUUUAAACAAUUGCAUAAAAGAAAAAAAAAUGAAAAUGAUUGUAGGUGAUUUUCAAAAUAGAGGUGAUUUUCUUGAGGAAAGAAUUCGAAAGUUGAUGUAUAAUGUUGAAGAAGAGCCUUCGUUGUAGGUGGGACGAGAGAGGAAACAACUUUGAAUUUUGAAACUUUACCAUCUAAAAUCAAAACAAAAUCAAUUGCAAUUUACGCAAUUUUGUAGGAAAUUAUUAUUAUUAUUAUAAUGGUAUAACAAGUUUAAUAUAAAAAAAAUAAAAAAUUUGUAGUAUAAAAAUAUUAUAAUAAAAUAAAUAAAUUUAUUUUCAAAAAUAUGAAAAUUAAUAUAAAAAUAUUAGGGAAAAAUUAUGUGUACACAUAAAAAAAUAAAAUAUAAAAUUGAUGGAUUAAAUUAUUAUUGAAAUUAUAAUCCGACUUAAAGUCAAAUUAGAAGAAUUUUAUGAAAUGUCAUAUCAAAACUAAAAUACUAAAAAAUGUGUAGAAUCAAAAGAAAAUUAUACUUUUGUUUGUGAAAUUAUGACUAUAAAGAAUAACUCAAUUCAUUUUCAACUCCAGUAAAAAUUUUGAUAAGUUGUGUAUAUGCAUGUCUUGUUUAAAUCUCAAUAUCUAUAAAAUCUAGUGAAUAAUAGUGUGGACCCCGUAUUUCGCACGAUGUGUUUCCACUCGAUGGCGUGACUCACUUUUUGUUUAUUUGUGAAAAAUUAUGAUUUUUAGAAAAGACUUGGAGUCACCACUUAUUUUUGUUUUAGUUUUUUAAGGGAAAACAAAGUAAGAAAAAAAAACCCUAAGUGUGACUUCUCAUUUGGAAAAAAUGGUCUAUGAAAAACCAAAUCUAGGUUCGAGGGGUUAUGUUACUUAUUGGGAAGGUAGGGUAAAGACCGUAGCACCCCUUUAAGUCCCUAAAAAUGAGUCUCUACUAAAUAAGGUGAGUCAAACAUGACAAUUAACUAGGAGAUCAAUGAAUACCAAAAUGAUUAUAGGUCAAAAGCAAGUUAUGAUAAUGAAUAAAUAAAAAAAGUGAGAGUGAGAGCGUACCUUGGCAGUAGGUAAUAAAGCGCUAUCAUGGAAACAAGGUUAGCUCAAGUAUAAAAUUAUUACGCGCAUAUCAAAAAUCAAGACAAAAAUCAAGCAAUAUUCGUUAAGCAUAACAUUUGACAAUCAGAAGAGAAAACUCAUAUGUGGGGUCCUCACCAAAGCCCAAUUUAUCUUGCACGAAUUAGUAUCACAAAUUCCAUUAUUUUGGAAUUAUAAAAAAUUCAUUCUUGCUUAUUUAAAAUAAAGAUAAACAAAAAAUUAUUUGAAAAUCGAAGAAAAUUUGUACAAGUGCAUACCAAAAUGAGAAUGGUAGCAGACUCAUUAAAAUCAGGAUUUUUGGCAACCUAAAACCCUAAUAAAUGAUUAAAAGUUGUAGAUAAAAAAUAUUUGAAAAUUGGAGUGGGAUUAAAACUGUUUGAGAGAAAACUAGAGUUUUGAAAUUUAUUUGAAAAUUGAAGUCUCGAAAAUUAUUUGAGAAUUGGAGUUUUGAAAAUUAAAUUUAAGAAUUGGAAUUUUAGAAAUUAAAUUUGAAAGAAAUUGGAAUUUUGAAAAUUAUUUGAGACUUGGAGUUUUGAAAAUUAAAUUUAAGAAUUGGAAUUUUGGAAAUUAAAUUUUGAAAUAAAUUGGAAUUUUGAAAAUUAUUUGAGAAUUGGAGUUUUGAAAAUUAAAUUUAGGAAUUGGAGUUUUGAAAAUUAAUUGAGAAUUGGAGUUUUGAAAAUUAGUUUUAAGAAUUGGAAUUUUGGGAAUUAAAUUUGAAAGAAAUUGGAAUUUUGAAAAUUAAAUUUAAGAAUUUGAAUUAAAUUUGAAAGAAAUUGAAAUUUUGAAAAUUAUUUGAGAAUUGAAGUUUUUAAAAUUAAAUUUAGGAAUUGGAGUUUUGGAAAUUAAAUUUAAAAGAAAUUGGAAUUUUGAAAAUUGAUUGAGAAUUGGAGUUUUGAAAAUUAGUUUUAAGAAUUGGAAUUUUGAAAAUUAAAUUUGAAAGAAAUUAAAAUUUUGAAAAUGGAAGUUUUAAAAAUUAAAUUUGAGAAUUGGAAUUUCAAAAAAUUAUUUGAAAAUAGAAAUUUGAAAAUUACAUUUAAUAAUUGGAAUUUUGAAAAAUUAUUUGAAAACAAAAGUUUUGAAAAUCGGAAUUUCGAAAAAUUAUUUGAGAAUGGAAUUCUUAAAAGAUCAAAUUUUUAACAUAAAAUGAUGGAUUAGGAGGGUGACACGUCAAACAUUGGAUAGCAGCCCUCUAGAGUGGAAUCCCAAGGUUCUCCUAAAAAAAUACCUCAAUGUCUAAAUGGCUAUAAGCAUCUGUCCAAAAAAAAAAAAAAAACAAUAGUAGAUUUUCCAUUUGUUCCGGUCACUACUAAUAUCUUAAUACUUCUUGGAAGAAUUUCCGUAGCAAAAUCCAACUUAGACAAUAUUCUUUUCACUGAUUGCAACAAGAAGGAAAGUCCAUGACUUUCCAAGGGAACUCCUAGUGAAACAACUACCAUUUCGGCAUCCUUGAGAAGCUUUGUGUCAAAGUGUCCAAGAACGGUUUUCAAAUGACCAUGCUUUUCAAACAGGAGAUCGAGCUCAAGCGAGAGCAAGCUUUGUUGCAGCUCUACCAGAUUUUCCCAACAAGAAAACAGGAAACUCUCAACCAAACCCAAAUUCACGAAAGAGAAUCAAACCAUAUGGGAAACAUCUGGAUCGGCGCGGUAGCUACAGUUUUGUAACAAAUCUCACUUGGGGUCUAGAGAUUCAUGUUACCUCAAGCUUUUUCUUGUCAGCCUCAUCAUCCCAUGGUUUCACAUCCCAGUGUACAGUCCCAUACCCAAGAAUGCAUAAACACCAGGAACAGGGAGAAAACAACAAAAACAUAGCACAAAUGAAGAAAAUAAUAUGAACCAUCAAAAGCCACACUUCAUGUCUUAGUCAGUGGAUGAAAAGGAUUUCUAAAUAUCACAAAAGAGAUAAAAAUUAGUUGGACCAAUUUUUGAACACAAAUUGGAGCAACAAAGAAGCCGUUAACUAUGAAAAAAAAAAUUCAUGAAUCACCCAAAGAUCAACAACAACAUAUCUCAAUAAUAGUGGAUGAAAGAAAAAAUUUUCACAAUGGAGAACUUACUUCAGGGAAGACGUUGGAGGUCUUUCUUCUAUAGAGCCCAAUAACCCGUGAGCUUCUUCUCUACUUCUCUCAACUCACCAUUUCACUCAUAGAAAAACGAUUCAUUAUGACCCCCCUCAAAUCUCAGCUUAUCUUUUUUCUUUUUGUUCCUUUUAAAAUCCCUCAGCUGCCACAAAAACCCAGCACCCACUUUCCAGAUUUUUCUCCCAGAAAAUCCUCUUCAGCUGCUGCCCCUUUUUCUCUCUCCUCUCAUCAUAGUUUUCUUCAUUUUUUCCUCCGAUCCCCUUAUCUUUUUAGUUUUCUACCCCCCCUCCCCAGUUCACCCUCCAAACCUGCAGCUACCCCUCAGACUACUCCCAUAUUUUUUUCUUUCAAGCUCUCAAAACCCUCACAACGCACCCGACUCUCCUUCAAUCCCCUUGCUCAGUUUUUCAUUUUUUUCAAGCUGUCACCUCCUUCGGUCCAGCUCUCCCUCUCCAAGCUUCAAUUUUUCUCCCAAAAAAAACCCGUUCUCUCCUAAUUUCAUCCUCUGCUCAAGACAGCUCACCCAUGUUCUAUUUUUCUUUCACUUCUAGUCUCAUCCUCCAUCUGUUCCAUUGUUCUUGGUUCAGUGAAGACGUCACCACUCUCAACCACCACCAUGGCGAGUUGGUGACAUCCUUUUCCAUGCGUCUCAAUCAUGCAGCUUGUCCACCUCAUGGAGAGGUCAUCCCCCACUUUUCCAAAAAAAAAAAUCUAGCUCACUCCCGAGUACCCAAUGAGGGGUCUACAAAUAGUUACAUCAAAAUGAUCAAUUCAAAAGAAUUUAAGUCUGUAUUAAAAGAGCAAAAAGAUUUAUCGUUGAAAGAAAUAUUUGAAAACACUCUGUUGCCAGUUCGAAUUACUAGCUCCAUAGGAUUGCAACCCACCAACUAUGUUAUCUGAGAUGCUUGCCAAUCUACAUGAUCACUUCCCAUUGGCAUCUUUCAUAAGGCCAUCAAGAGUGGAUAUUUUGUAAUAUACACGUGGAUACAUUUUGGGAUGUAGUUUGAUAUUUUAUAUUAUUUUGUAUUUUUGGUGUAUUGACAUUUUCAUAUUAAUGUUGGGAGGUUGGAUUAACACUUAAAAUUUUUAAAUACAUUUUUACCUAUGUUAUUCAUCAUGGAUGAAAUAAGUAUUUUUGAAAUUUUAAUUUUUAAGAUUUUACUUUAUUCCACUAAUUUAUUUUUAUCAUUUUAAUCAAUUCUAUCUUCAUAAAAAAAAAUUAUAAAUAAGCUUUAUAAGAAUUCAUUUUUAUUAUCAAAUAAUUAUUUUGUUUUCUUAACAAAAUAAAUAUUUUAUAAUUUUGAAAUAAAAUAAUAAAUACUAUGUAACAUUAUCAAACGAGUUUUUUUUUAAAUUUUUAAAAAAUAAUUAUUGAUUUUAUCAAAUAAAUAAAAUAGUAUUUUAAUCUAUGGACCCCUUACUAUUUUUCUUUCCUUUUCAUGUAUCACAUGUUUAAUUAUUUUUUAUUAAAAAUUAGUUUUUGAUAGGCAUUGCUACUAUAAUACCACUUUCUUUUCAUUAAGGAGAGGCACAAGAACCCAUUACGAUUAGACAAUGGGUCAAAUCAUGAAGUCACAUCUCACUAGUAGAUUAAAAAAAAAAACUUUUAUAACUUUGUUGUUAUCUUUUCAUUUUAAGGGUAAAAUAGGAAAAAACAAUUACGAUGCACUCUAAAAUUGCUUUUAAAUUUAUUCCAAAAUUACCCUAAAAAAUUUGCCAUGAAUGUGAGAAAAGUGGUGAUGUGAUAGAAGGAAAAAGUGAUGAAAUGAAGAGGCAUGAGGUGUUGAUUGGAGGGUGGCACUGUGGAUGACGGUCCUAUGGUGCCACACCGAGGUGAAAGUGUGGGCUAGUAGUGAUAGUGGAGAGAAAUGGAUGCAAAAAAUGGGUAUGGUGGGCAGAUGAAGAGAAAGAGAAAGAGAAAGAAAGUGUUGUGAUUUGCAACGGUUGGUGGUAUUGGAGAAAGGCAACAUUUGGUGUUACAGAAGAGAGACAACAUUGUGUCACAGGAUGCACAAAUGACCCUCCCCAUGGGCUUAUUUUGGAGGUGGGAAGCUUAUGGAAACUCCUGAAGCCAUCUACACUAAGCCAUUGGUGGGAAGAGUGUGGAAGCUUCUAAAAAAGCCUAGGGAUGUUCGCACAUCUUUACAUUAUGGUGGAAGGCAUGAGAAAAUUCCAAGACUUUCUAGAGAGUUCUAGAGGUCUCUUGUAUAUUCUUGUACGUAAGCUUGUACAUAGAAUUAUAUAGGGUGUUCUAGAAUAUUCAUGAGUUGUAAGGAACCCUCCAAGGUUCUAGAGAGUCCAUUGGUGUUUAUAAAUGAGGGUCUUAUUUGGUCAGGGCACCAAGCAAGUGAGUUUCCAAGCAUUGUAUAAACUUUCUUUGAAAUCAGUAAAACUUCCGUUCUUUAAGUGUUGCCUACUACGCCCUCUAAAGCUUUUAAGUUGGGUGCAUCUUUGCAAAGCAAACUAAGUAUCAGGACUAAUGUUGACUUAGCAAGAUCAAGGGUCUUGACUUGUCUAAGUGUCGCACAAGCUUAGGAAAAGACUAAGUUUGUGACAGUUGGCACUAGGUUGUGGAUAAGUGGUGGUGGUGAUGUGGAGAAAGUGAAGGAAACAUAGAAGAAGAAAGAAAAAGAAAUAUGGGAAAGGAAAAGGGAGAGAAAAAAAUACUACUAGGUAAGGGAAACUAUGAGCGGUGGCCAACGACGACACUAAUAGAUAAUGUUAUCAAUGGUGCCGAUAGAUUCGGUGGAAGCGGUAGAUUCAGUGGGAAGUGAGAGGCGACAGUGAAUUGAACUUUGGUGGCAAAUCAUACACGACUACCCUCCUCCCAUCGCAAUCACCAUCAUUCUCAUUUUUCGCUUAGGAUCAAUGUGCCCUCUCUAAGCAACAUUGACAACCCCCCUCCCUCCCCUAUCUUUUUCAUUUCUAAUGUUGUUUUCUACAAUUGGAACUAGGUUUUCAAAAACAUCGACUAUCUCUGGAGGAGUAGUACUAGUACUGUGAAUGAUUGAAAUUGUGAUUUCAAAAUUAGGUUGGGUUCCAACAUAGAGGUAAUAGAGGUUGUUAAGCCUUCAGGAAGACGUGCACAAGUGAACAAUGUUCCUAGAGAUUAUAGUGGUGGAAGAAUACCAUAAAAAGAUAAGAAAAGAAAAGGGAAAAGGACUCUUUCUCAUGCCACCUACCCAUUCUCAGUGUUGACACAUUUUUCUAGCUGGCACCAUUCCCUCCAAUCGUCACCUACCCAUCAUCACCACCAUCCCUUACUUUCAUGGUAAUUUUUUUAAGAUAAUCUUGGAACAAAUUCAAAAACAUUGUUAGAGCGCAUGAAUUAAGAAUUUUUUUUUUCUCAACUUUAUACUUAAAAUGAAAAGAUAAAAGCAAAAUUCCAAAAACCUUAUAGCUUGUUUAACCAUAUAACUUAAAAACGGUUAUCUAAUUUUAAAAAUAGAAAACUGUUUUUUAACACUUUCAAUUGUGGUUGGUCAUUAUUCUAAAAAAAAAUAAUAAUAAUUUAAAACUAGAUUGAAAAAAAAAUCAGGAAACAAUCUCAUUGAUUUAAAUUAUUAUUUAAUUACUUGCACAAUCGUAUGAUUAUUAUUAUGUUUUUGUUAUAUUAUAUUAACAAGUGAAUACUAUGUUGUUGAUUCUAGAUAUCCUUGUAUUAUGGGUUUUCUUCCUCCAUAUUGAGGUGAAAGGUAUUAUUUGUAAUAUUAUCUUAGCAAAAGUUGUCAACCAAAGACUGAUAAAGAAUUGUUCAAUUAUUGACCUUCCUCAUUUAUAAAUAUAAUUGAGUAUUAUUUGUGUUUUAAAAGCACGUUUUUCAAUUUUAAAAAUGAUGUCAUCUUACAAACCAAGUAGACAACUAUAAAUAGUUGUAGCUUGUUGUACUCUUUAUAAUUUCAUUCGUAAAUAGACUUAAAAUGAUGUUAUAUUUAGACAAUGGGAAGAAGAACUUGAAUUUGAAGAUAAGGACGAUACUACAAUUGAAGUAAGUUAUGCAAUGAAUUUAUUAGAUGAAGCAGCAACGAUUAUGACAACUUAUCAAGAUCGUAUUUCAUAGUAGAAAUGGAAUGCUUAUGUUAAUAGUUUGUAAACAUUAGUCAUUAAAUAGUUAUAUUAAUAUACGAAGCAAGAAUGUGAAAUAUGAAAAUUGUUUAACUAUUAUAAUUGACUUGAAGUGUUUGUGUGUACUUGGUUUGCAAUUAUUUUUGUUAGGUGCUUUCAAUUUAAAUUUUUUUUUUGUUUUUCCCAUUAAAAAAAUCAAUCCAACUAUUUAUUUUACUCUCUUUAAAAAAAUGAAUAUUAAAAUUAUUUUUAAUCUUAUAGUAAUUUUUGUUUCAUUUGAAUAAAAAAAUUGUUUAAUAAUUAAAACAAUUAUUUAUCUAUAAUUUAUAUAAUUUGAAUUUUAUUUAUUUAUUUUUAGUGAGAUUUAACUUGAAUGUGAUUUAUAUUAAUGUAAAUUAAAUUUUAAAAAUAAAAAUACAAAAAUUGUUUUUAAAAACAAAGACGAUUCUUUUAUACAAACAAGUUUUUGUUUUUUAAAAACUAUUUUUGAAAGUAAUUGGCCAAACAAUUUUUCUUUGUAAAAAAUACAAAAAAAACCAUUUUUUAUUCUUUAUCUUAAAAAUAAUUUUUAAAAUUAAAAAACACGAUCAAACACCUUAUUUUGUUUUUAUUUUUGGUGUAUGAUUGCAUAAUUUUUUCAUUUUUUAAAAUUGAAUUUCAAGCAAGCUCAUAAUUAUAUAAUUAAAAAACUUGUUUGAUAGUAAUUUUAAGAAGCAAUUCUAAUAUUUUUAACACUUAAAAAAUGAAAAAAGAAUUAUUUUUCAAGUAUACAACGAAGAAAUACUUGUUAGGAUCACUGCUACACAUUCUCUAUGUAGACAUAUCCCACUUCUAACUCUUCAACUUCUGAACUCUUUUGAUGAAAUCCACACUCAAACCACUCACAAGCUCCAAAUUCAAGUCCCAAAUGCAGCCACUGCUUCAACCAGGUUUUGGAGUCAAAAUAAGAGACGUAGUGAUGAAUUCCAGAUAGUCCAUAUCUUAAAGUGAGAAAAUAUCCAAAAAAGAAUUUGUUGUGUUGAGAGGGAUUGCUUGAGAAAUUCAGGAUUAGGGAAUUAUUUUAUCUCAGUGUGGUUUAGAAUUCCAGUUUGGCAAAUUCAGGAUUCAGGACUGGCUUUGGGUUCAAAAUGAUUUGGGGUUUCUACUCAGAAACAUCCAAAAAUUGAACUAUUUGACAAAUUUGGGGUGUGGGAGCUGUUCCUUUGUUUGUGGGAUAUUUGUGCAUGAUUAUGGAACUGCUGAACUGUGUUACAUAAAUUCAAAUUUUAUUUGCUUGAUGGGGAAUUGGUCUGGGAAAAGAUAGCUGAAGAAUAAAGGGAUUGAUGUCAUGGGAUAAGGUUUUGUUGGGUGGACUUGUUUUCCAUGUUUUUUCUCCUCUAAAGGUUAGGGGUGAAAAAUUGUAUUAAAUUCAUUUUUUUGUGCAGAUUUUAUGAUUUUAAUGUUGUUGUUUUCCCUUUUGAAUAAGGAAUAUAAAAACAUUUAUGGAAUUUGAUUUCUUCCAAAAUUAGAUGAGUUAUGAAACCAAAAUAGUGGUUGCAUGUGGUUGAAUCUCGGUUUUUAUUUUAUAAUUUGUCAUCCAAAUCAAGCAAUUCUUAUAUUUUUAGUUUUGAAAAUGAAUUCCAAAAGCAUGGGCUAAUUUAUACCUUAUGUAUAUGAGUUUCACUUUGUAUAUACUUUUUGUUUUUAAAAACAAAAAGUAGGAAGUGUAUCCAAACACUUAUUUUUACUUAAGUUAUAAAGUAAGGAGGUGGAUUUAUUUUAUAAGUUGCUUUUGGUGUCAAAGAAAUUAUUCUUAACAUAAUUAUUAAAAAAAAAAAGAUAUCAAUUAUAUUUGAUUGGUAUUAUCAAUUAUGCUUUGCGGGACCAAGCAUGCCCCAUCUUCUUUGGGCCUCCCACUACUUUAAUCCUACACAGAUGACACAUUUUUAUUAAGAUCCAGAUCCUAUUAUCAUGGACUGGGCAAUGGAGGCUCAGAUCCGGCCGUAAUCAGACGAGCUGUUGGGACGCCAUGGCUGCAACUACCGGGUUGCCCCGCCAAGAAACGAGCCCUUCAUAAUCUCUGAUUUACUUGGAAAGUAUCAUCAUAGCCCCUCGAUUUUCUCAUUGGGAACCAAACAGAUCCAGGACCCUUUGAAGGACCCUAAAUACAUCCAACCAAACAAUAAUAAAUAAAUAAAUAAAUAAAGAUGGACAUCACGGGUCCAGGGAGGGCUCAGAUCCGCCCGUAAUCAGACAAGAUCCAUGUUCGCCAUGGCUGCAACUACAGUUGCAUGUGAAAAAACAGGGCAUAGAAACCCAUUUCACAGACAAUCCGGGUCGCCCAGCCAAGAGAUGGAUCCUUUCAAAUGUCUGAUUUACUUGGAAAGUGUCAUCACAGCCACUUAAUUUUCCUGCACAUUUUCUCAGCAACCAAACAGAUACAAGAUCCUUCUCAGAAAACACAUUUUAAAACACAAACAAAAAAACCAAAACAAAACAAAGAUCAGCCUCAGCGCGGAAGUGAAUAGCGCGUAAAAGGAAGGCUCAGAUUCGCCUUUUAUCAGACAAGAAAAAGAUGACCGUCAUGGCUGCAACCACAGUUGCUUGUGAAACAAGGCACAAAAGGUCCCAUCGCACAAACCAUCCGGGUUGCCCCGCCAAGAAACGGACAUUCCCAGUUCCUGACUUACUCUGAAAACGUCAUCACAGCCUUUUAUGUUGCCCAUAUGAACAGAGAGAUACCCCUAAAACAGAUCCAGAAAACACAGGGAGCCAAAAAAAAAAAGCAAUUUUUUUGGUUUUCCUUGGGGGUUUUGCGUGGAUUUUCUCGGAAAUCAAACGAGGAUGAAUUUUCCCGGAAAUCGAAUGGGGGAUGGAUUUUCUUGGGAAUCAAACGGGGGUUGCAAAAAAAUAAUAAUAAUAAUAACAUGAUUAGAUUAGUACCUGCGAGGAUUGAGAGUGGGAGAGGAAAAUAGGGCCUUUUUAGGGAUUCUCUCGUCUGGAGGGCAACUUCAGAAAAGGGCUUCUAGUUCUUGAUGCCCGAGUGGGAGAAGCGGAUGAUGGCCCUUUCGAUUUUUAUAUUUAGUGGAGAGAGAAAACAAGGGAAACAAAUCAUGAAAACAAUUUUCCUCUCUAUAUAAAUAAUUAUUAAUCAUCCAUCUUUAUUUUGAUUAAAUUACUACCAAAAUUUCGAUUUUUAUCAGUAAUAUUUUAUAAAUUAAAAUUCAUUUGAUAAAAUAAAUUAUUAAUAAAUUUAUUUAUUUAAAUAAAUUAAUAUUAAUAAAAAAAAGUUAUUACCAUGUAUUUUUAAUAAAAUCUUAAAAAUUAAAUAUCAAAUAAAAUAUUUUAUAUAAAUUAAUUUAAUUUUUCAUUUAAAAUAUAAUAAAACAUGUUUCAAUAAAAAUAUUUAAAAUUUUUUUAAAUAAAUAUUAUCUUCAAUAAGAUAAGUUUCUUUCAUUUAACAAUAUGAUGGACCCACAUCGAUCUUCAUUUUGAUACUAAAAACUAUUGCAAUCUCAUAUAUAUUAUACUUAUGUAUAAAUUGUUUUUAUUCAAUAAAAUCAAAUAUUUUUUAACUCAAUUCUAACUUUAUACACUUUCAAAAUUCAUAUUUAUUAUUCUUAAAAUUUAAAUAUCCAAUUUAUCAAUAUGUCUCUAUCUACCGAUGUUUUUCUUCUUGAUCAUAUUUAAGUCAAUUACACUUAUAAAACAACUUAAAAAUGUGUAUUCUUGUUUAUUUUAUCAUUUUUUGAAGUUUUUCCAAAUAUCCCUAUGACUUCUACAUAAUUUUCGUUCCACCGGCAUUUUCAUACUUACCCUGUAUCUAUAAAAAAUAAAUGAAAACAAUUUUAGGUUAGGAGUUAUAAGGACAACUAGUAUUCAUGCAGAAAAUCAGCAUCAGAAUUCGUAACUGCAUUUGAUCAGCUAGUUUAGGAAAUCUGUACAGCUCAUUCUUUCCUUUAUUUUCACAUAUGUUGUUAUACGUUAGCACAAGUUUAGGAGUAAUUUUAGUUUCUCAAAUCUGUAUUUAUACCUCUUCUUCUAAUAAGAAUUGUGUGAAUCAUUUUGUCUAAACCUCUAUAUGGUAUCAGAGCCCACCUCAAAACUCCAACGAGUAUUUCCUGUCUUUCUCACUUCUGCUAUGGCCACUUCUUCCUUUGAUAGUUUUCCAAUAGCCAUCAAUGCCACCCAGCAAAUUAUUGCACGUCUCACACCAACCAACUUCCCUUCAUGGCAUGCCCAAUUUGAGUCUCUCCUCCUCGGCUAUAACCUCUUUGGCUAUGUCGAUGGCACUCAUACCUGCCCACCCCUACCGACGUCAACUGAUGCAGCUGCCACUACCGCUCAUCACCUUUGGUUCCGUCAGGACAAACUUAUUCUAAGUGCAAUUCUGACUUCAGUGUCCCCAGCUGUGAUACCACUCAUAGCAACCUCCCAGACGUCAUAUCAAGCCUGGACUAAAUUGACAAAACUGUAUGCUAGUCGAUCCAGGACUCGUGUCAUGCAGCUCAAAGAGGAUCUCACCCUCAUGCAACGUGGCAAUCGCAACAUUACAGAGUACCUACACUCUGUAAAAACCAUUGCCGAUGAGCUUGCUCUCAUCGAUGCCCCAUUAUCUCAAGAUGACAUCACCCUAUAUGUUCUUCAUGGCUUAGGAUCAGAUUUUCGUGACAUUGUUGCCCCGAUUCGAGCCUGAGAGUCUUCACUCUCAUUUGAAGAAUUACAUGAUCUGCUACUUGGUCAUGAGGCAUAUCUUCGAAGGCUUGACUCCACUGCUCAAUCCUUGGUAGUUACUGCCAAUACCACUCAACGCAGGGACUCACGCUCCUCAAAGAAUCAGUCUUUAUCAACUUAUCAACAAUCCAAGAAUGACUCCAGAUCAAAGUCUCGACAGUCGAAACAAUACAAAUACCCUCCAAGGUGUCAAUAUUGUGAUCAACAAGGCCACAUUGCAAAAUACUGUCCGAAAUUGAAACCCUCUGAAGCCACUGUGAACUGCACAACUACUACUUCUAGUCUAGACAAACGUUGGCUCAUUGAUUCUGCGGCUUCCCAUAAUAUCACUUCUCAGGUUUCAAAUUUACAAUUUCACUCUGAAUAUGAUGGUACUGAUGAAGUUAUUAUUGGAGAUGGAUCAGGUUUGCCCAUUACUCAUUCCGGUUCUCUUACUCUUUCAUUUCCAAACAGAAAAUUUCAAGUUGAAGAUACUCUAUGUGUUCCUACCAUUAACAAAAACUUGAUAUUUGUUCACCACUUCACAAAGCAAAACAAUGUUAUCCUGGAAUUUCACCCAACUUAUUUUCUUGUGAAGGAUCGGAGAACGGGGGAGAUUCUUCUUCAAGGACCGUGUGAAAAUGAAGUCUACCCUCUACCCUCAUCGCCUGCUGCUACUCCAAUUGCUUUUGUCCAUGAACGCACAUCAGUAGCUGGUUGGCAUCAGCGCCUUGGUCAUCCAUCCUUCAAAGUUGUCACUCGCCUCAUUAGUUCUUUCUCCCUUCCCACCACUUCAUAUCUUUCUAGUUCUAAUAAUUGUCAUUCGUGUUCUACCAAUAAAGCUCAUUAGUUACCCUUUCAUAAACACGGUCUAACUAGCACAACACCAUUUGAUUUACUUUACACUGAUGUAUGGGGACCUUCUCCCACUCCUAGUCUCAAUGGCCACAGAUAUUAUGUUAUUUUUGUUGAUCACUUUACCAAAUAUGUGUGGUUCUUUCCAUUGCAUCAAAAAUCAGAUGUUAAAACCAUAUUUCCUCAUUUCUACAAAAUGAUUGAAACUCGUUUUAACAUAAAAAUUAAAGGAGUUUAUUCCAAUAAUGGAGGAGAGUUCACUGUUCUUUGACCCUUUUUCACAACCCAUGGCAUUAGUCAUUAUACAACAACCCCUUAUACACCCCAACAAAAUGGAGUGUCUGAGCGUCGUCAUCGCCAUAUUGUGGAGACAGGUCAAACCCUUCUAAGUCAUGCCUCUCUUCCAUCAGAAUAUUGGGCUUAUGCUUUUGCAACAGCCACAUAUCUAAUCAAUCGACUUCCAUCACCUGUUCUUCAUCAUAAAUCACCUCUUCAAGCUCUCUUCAAGCAACAACCUCGGUAUGAAAAAUUACGUUCCUUUGGAUGUUUCUGCUUUCCCUUGAUGAAGUCGUAUAACACAAACAAAUUUCAAAAGAAAUCUGUUCCUUGUAUCUUUGUUGGCUACUCUACUAGCCAAAGUGCAUAUCUAUGUCUUCAUCUACAAAGUCAACGCAUAUACACCUCCAAACACGUAACCUUUGAUGAAUCUGUUUACCCCUUCAAACAGGUUUCCAUGCCAUCACCCACUGACUCAUCCCCACCAGAAACCUCUUCUUUUCAGGACCAAUUUUGCAGCUUGCUUCCAGGGAGCUUCCAGCAAUCACACGGGCUCAAGGAGAUAUCCCCUCUGCUUCUUCGACUCCAAGUGAAGAUCCAGCUCUUGUGCAACCUCAAGAGGCACCACUCUCCACUUCAGAUCAGGUACCUCUUAGACCUUCUACUUCUGUUUCUCAACCAGAAAAUUCAAUACCAUCCUCUCCACCACCAUGUCCACGAACCAUCAUCACUCGCUCCAUGAACAAUAUCUUUCGGCCAAAACAACUCCACACUACCACCAAGCACCCCUUACCUGAACCACCCGAACCAAGUUGUGUAAGUCAAGCUCUUAAAGAUCCUCACUGGCGCAAGGCUAUGUCAGAAGAAGUGACAACCCUCCUUCAACAUGGGACGUGGGAACUGGUUCCUCCCACUCCUGGCCAGAAUCUUGUUGGGUGUAAAUUUGUGUUUCGGAAGAAACGAAAUCCCGAUGGAACAAUCAGUCGAUAUAAAGCUCGACUUGUCGCUAAAGGAUUUCAUCAACGGCCAGGUAUUGACUACUCUCAAACCUACAGCCCCGUCGUAAAGCCAGCAACAAUUAGGCUUCUUUUAACCAUUGCUGUCAUGCAUGGCUGGCCCCUUCGUCAGUUAGACAUCAAUAAUGCAUUCUUGCAUGGUAAUCUUGAAGAAACAGUCUUCAUGCAUCAACCUCCAGGAUUUGAAGAUCCAUCUCAACCUCAGCAUGUUUGCAAGCUAAAAAAGAGUAUCUAUGGUCUUAAACAAGCCCCACGACAAUGGUAUAAGGCCCUUCGGGAUGCACUCCUCAGCUUUGGUUUUAUUCACUCGGCCACUGACAACUCUUUGUUCAUCUAUAAGUCUCAUGAUAUCUUGUGCUACUGCCUUGUUUAUGUUGAUGACAUAAUUGUCACAAGCAACACACUCAGCUUUGUGAAUAACAUUAUCAACAAGCUUGGCUCUACAUUCUCAGUCAAAGAUAUGGGCUCCUUGCAUUAUUUCUUGGGAAUAGAAGUGAUUCCAACGCCACAGGGGCUCUUUCUAUCUCAACAUCAGUAUAUACGGGAUCUCCUUUCACGAACCUCCAUGGAAAAUGCUAAAGAAACACUCACUCCAAUGUCCACUACAACCAAGCUUACAGUUCAAGAUAAUUCUGAAUGUGUUGACAGCACUGAGUAUCGCAAGAUCAUUGGAGCACUUCAGUAUUUGGGACUCACUCGUCCCGAUAUUGCCUUUGCAGUCAACAGAUUAUCUCAGUUCAUGCAGAAGCCGACAACAAACCAUUGGGCCGCAGCAAAAAGACUACUCAGAUAUCUUAAACAGACCAUGUUUCAUGGUAUCCUUCUCCAAAAGCAUGAUCAAUUCCAACUCAAGACCUAUAGUGAUGCGGACUGGGCAUCAAAUACGGACACUCGUGUUUCAACCACUGCUUUCAUCACAUUCAUUGGUCCUAAUCCAAUCUCAUGGUCUGCACGCAAGAAAAGGGCAGUCUCAAGAUCAUCUACAGAAGUAGAGUUUCGGGCACUAGCUACUGCCACAUCAGAAACAAUUUGGCUUCAUUCUCUUAUCAAGGAACUUGGUCUCACUCUCAUAGAAGCACCUCAAAUGUUUUGUGAUAAUAUUGGCGCCAACCAUUUCAGUUUAAAUCCAGUCCAGCACACACGGAUGAAACACAUUGAAAUUGAUCUCCUCUUUGUACGAGAUCUUGUCCAAAAGGGAACUAUUCGUGUUCAGCACAUCCAUACCAUUGAUCAACUAGCUGAUCUCCUUACAAAAUCACUCUCACGUCAACGCUUUCAACUAUUAAGAUCCAAGAUUGGUGUUGCAGAUGGCACCUCCAUCUUGAGAGGGCAUAUAAGGACAGCUAGUAUUCAUGCAGAAAAUCAGCAUCAGAAUUCGUAACUGCAUUUGAUCAGCUAGUUUAGGAAAUCUGUACAGCUCAUUCUUUCCUUUAUUUUCACAUAUGUUGUUAUACGUUAGCACAAGUUUAGGAGUAAUUUUAGUUUCUCAAAUCUGUAUUUAUACCUCUUCUUCUAAUAAGAAUUGUGUGAAUCAUUUUGUCUAAACCUCUAUAGGGGUGGACUUGUUUUCCAUGUUUUUUCUCCUCUAAAGGUUAGGGGUGAAAGCAACUUAUAGCUGAUGGUUGUUUUCAGAAAUAAGCUGAUCAUAUCAUAGCUGACCGAUUUCUUCUUUGGUCAUCUUGAAGCAAUUUUAAUAUUUAUUUUUCAGUCAGCUACCUUCUAUCUCUUCUUAGCUAUCUAAAAAUCCUCACUCAUCGGCCUCCCAAUAUCAAUGAAAUGGUGCCCAAAAUCUGAAGUGGCUUGAAUUCAGUUCAGGUCUAAAUAGUGGUUUCUGAAUGUUGUUAAGUGGUUUAUUUUUACAUGGCAAAACAUCUAAAAUUAGUAAUAAGAUUUAAUUAUUAUCUUUCUUCUUAUAAUUAACAAUAUUUUCAAAUAUCUCAAAAUGCCAAAAUAUAUUCCUUCUUAUUUUAUAAAAUUGGAAUUAGAUAUUUGAAAAGUAAUAAUUUGAAAAAAUAAUAAUAAUUUAAAAUAUUUCCAAAUAACAAAAAUACGAAAAUUGACUACAUUACAAUGAUGGUAAUUAAUAUGUAAUUAAUUAUGAUAGAAGUUAGUGUUUCUAAUUAUAUUUGGCUAUUAAGAAAAUGUUAGAAAUUCUCUAGGUUGAGUUUCCUUAAUUUUUCUCUCUUUUUUUCUAGUGGAUGUUUAGAUAAAUGUGAGUUAUGUUUUGGAGUUUUAAUUGGAGAAAUUCUGUGAUGAUGUUUUAUGUCAGUUUUGUUGCAUUCUGAGGUGUUGAACUUUGAAAAAUUGUAUUAAAUUCAGUUUUUGUGCAGAUUUUAUGAUUUUAAUGUUGUUGUUUUCCCUUUUGAAUAAGGAAUAUAAAAACAUUUACGGAGUUUAAUUUCUUCAAAAAUUAGAUGAGUUAUGAAACCAAAAUAGCAGUUGCAUGUGGUUGAAUCUCGGUUUUUAUUUUAGAACUUUUUGGAUUUAUUUUAUAAUUUGUCAUCCAAAUUAAGCAAUUCUUAUAAUUUUAGUUUUGAAAAUGAAUUUCAAAAGCAUAGGCUAAUUUAUACUUUAUGUAUAUGAGUUUCACUUUGUAUAUACUUUCUGUUUUUAAAAACAAAAAGUAGGAAGUUAUAAAGUAAGGGGGUGGAUUUAUUUUAUAAGUUGAUUUUGGUGUCAAAGAAAUUAUUCUUAACAUAAUUUUUAAAAAAUAAAAAAUAAAUUAUAUUUGAUUGGUAUUAUAAAUUAUGCUUUGUGGACCAAGCAUGACUCAUCUUAUUUGGGCCUCCCACUACUUUAAUCCUACACAGAUGACACAUUUUUAUUAAGAUCCAGAUCCUAUUAUCAUGGACUGGGCAAUGGAGGCUCAGAUCCGGCCGUAAUCAGACAAGUUGCUGGGACGCCAUGGCUGCAACUACGGUUGCCUGUAAAAUGAAACCCAUUUCACAGAUCACCCGGGUUGCCCCGCCAAGAAACGAGCCCUUCAUAAUCUCUGAUUUACUUGGAAAGUAUCAUCAUAGCCCCUCGAUUUAUUUACUUGGAAACAGAUCGAGGACCCUUUGAAGGACCCUAAAUACAUCCAACCAAACAAUAAUAAAUAAAUAAAUAAAGAUGGACAUCACGGGUCCAGGGAGGGCUCAGAUCCGCCCGUAAUCAGACAAGAUCCGUUUUCGCCAUGGCUGCAACUACAGUUGCAUGUGAAAAAAAAGGGCAUAGAAACCCAUUUCACAGACAAUCCGGGUCGCCCAGCCAAGAGAUGGGUCCUUUCAAAAUGUCUGAUUUACUUGGAAAGUGUCAUCACAGCCACUUAAUUUUCCUGCACAUUUUCUCAGCAACCAAACAGAUACAAGAUCCUUCUCAGAAAACACAUUUUAAAACACAAACAAAAAAACCAAAACAAAACAAAACAAAGACCAGCCUCACCUCAGCGCGGAAGUGAAUAGCGCGUAAAAGGAAGGCUCAGAUUCGCCUUUUAUCAGACAAGAAAAAGAUGACCGUCAUGGCUGCAACCACAGUUGCUUGUGAAACAAGGCACAAAAGGUCCCAUCGCUUAAGCCAUCCGGGUUGCCCCGCCAAGAAACGGACAUUCCCAGGGCCUGACUUACUCUGAAAACGUCAUCACAGCCUUUUAUGUUGCCCAUAUGAACAGAGAGAGAGUGAGCGCUGUUGAUAGCCUCUGAUGUAUAUGUAUAUAUAUAUAUAUAUGUAAAAGAGCGAAGGAAAAGGAGCGUAGUAGAAGGAAUCAUCGGCUCCGACGACCAUGAGAGUGGCAGAGGAAAAUAGGGCCUUUUUAGGGAUUCUCUCGUCUGGAGGGCAACUUCAGAAAAGGGCUUCUUGAUGCCUUAGUGAGAGAAGUGGAUGGCCCUUUCGAUUUUUAGAUUUAGUAGAGAGAGAAAACAAGGUUAACAAAUCAUGAGAACAAUUUUCCUCUCUUUAUAUAAAUAAUUAUUAAUUAUCCAUCUUUAUUUUGAUUAAAUCACUACCGAAAUUUCGAUUUUUAUUUUGAAGGACCCUAAAUACAUCCAACCAAACAAUAAUAAAUAAAUAAAGAUGGACAUCACGGGUCCAGGGAGGGCUCAGAUCCGCCCGUAAUCAGACAAGAUCCAUGUUCGCCAUGGCUGCAACUACAGUUGCAUGUGAAAAAAGGGCAUAGAAACCCAUUUCACAGACAAUCCGGGUCGCCCAGCCAAGGACAGGUCCUUUCAAAAUGUCUGAUUUACUUGGAAAGUGUCAUCACAGCCACUUAAUUUUCCUGCACAUUUUCUCAGCAACCGAACAGAUACAAGAUCCUUCUCAGAAAACACAUUUUAAAACACAAACAAAAAAACCAAAACAAAACAAAGACCAACCUCAGCGCGGAAGUGAAUAGCGCGUAAAAUGAAGGCUCAGAUUCGCCUUUUAUCAGACAAGAAAAAGAUGACCGUCAUGGCUGCAACCACAGUUGCUUGUGAAACAAGGCACAAAAGGUCCCAUCGCACAAACCAUCCGGGUUGCCCUGCCAAGAAACGGACAUUCCCAGUGCCUGACUUACUCUGAAAACGUCAUCACAGCCUUUUAUGUUGCCCAUAUGAACAGAGAGAGAGAGAGAGAGCUGUUGAUUUUCCAGAGAAUCAAGACAGCCUCUGAUAUAUAUGUACACACAUGUGUAUGAAAAGAAAGAAAAGAAAAGAAAGAGCGAAGGAAAAGGGCUGUUGAUGGGCGUCGUAGAAGUAAUCAUCGGCUCCGAAGACCAUGAGAUUCAGAGAGGGGCAACCACCCUUAGAAACUCCCCAUCCCUCCGACACGGUCCCUGGAGCCUCAGUCUUAAACUAAUGAGGUCUAGCCCUAACUUUUACUCAUCCUUUCCCUUUUAUACUACUCCCUGUCUUCUUCUUCUUUGCUUUUAUUUUACUUUUUUGACCUUUCUACCCUCACUAAACCCGGUAUCAAGGAUUGAAAUGUCGAAUUUCGGGAAAUUUCCCGAUAUUUCCUACCAGUCCAGCCCGCGCACAGGAUACAAAAUCUGUCCAUUUUUUAAAAAAAAAACACAAGAUGUUAUUUGGUAAUCUGAUCAUGAUUUGCAGGCAAAGGUUGUGUUUUUCAGCCUGGCUCAAAAAUCGUGGAUUUAGGGUUCGUGAAAUUUAAAUCCAAUGGCACAAAAGCAAAGAGACCCCUAGAACAGAUCCAGAAAACACAGGGAGCAAAAAAAAAAGCAAUUUUUUUGGUUUUCCUUGGGGGUUUUGCGUGGAUUUUCUCGGAAAUCAAACGAGGAUGAAUUUUCCCGGAAAUCGAAUGGGGGAUGGAUUUUCUUGGGAAUCAAACGGGGGUUGCAAAAAAAAAAAUAACAUGAUUAGAUUAGUACCUGCGAGGAUUGAGAGUGGCAGAGGAAAAUAGGGCCUUUUUAGGGAUUCCCUCGUCUGGAGGGCAACUUCAGAACAGGGCUUCUUGAUGCCCCAGUGAGAGGAGUGGAUGGCCCUUUCCAUUUUUAUAUUUAGUAGGGAGAGAAAACAAGGAAACAAAUCAUGAGAACAAUUUUCCUCUCCUAUAUAAAUAAUUAUUAAUUAUCCAUCUUUAUUUCGAUUAAACCACUACCAAAAUUUCGAUUUUUAUCAGUAAUAUUUUAUAAAUUAAAAUUAAUUUAAUAAGAUAAAUUAUUAAUAAUUUUAAUUAUUUAAAUAAAUUAAUGUUAAUAAAAAAUUUAUUACCACAUAUAUAUAAAAUAAAAUCUUAGAAAUUAAAUAUCAAAUAAAGUAUUUAUAUAAAUUAAUUUAAUUUUUCAUAUAAAAUGUAAUAAAAAUUUAUAAAUAAAUAUUGUCUUCAAUAAGAUGAUUCAUUAGAUGAAACCAUAUCAAUCUUCAUUUUGAUACUAAAGACUAUUACAAUAUCAUAUGUAUUAUAUUUAUGUAUAAAUUGUUUUUACUCAAUAAAAUCAAAUAUUUUUUAAUUCAAUUUUAAUUUUAUACAUUUUCAAAAUUCAUAUUUAUUAUUCUUAAAAUUCAAAUAAAUCUACUGAUGUUUUUCUUCUUGAUCAUAUCUAUAUCAAUUAUAUUUAUAAAAUAACUCUAAAAUAUGUAUUUUUACUUAUUUUAUCAUUUUUUUUAUAAUUUUCUAAAUAUUCCUAUAAAUUUUAAAUAAUUUUCGUUCCACCAAUAUUUUCAUUCUAAUCUUGUAUCUAUCGAAAAUAAAUGAAAGACAAUUUUUUACAACAAAAUUUUUUAUGAUUUUUAAAUCAAAAGUUAGUUUUAAAAUCUCAAAUAUUUUUAAUCCACUAUUAUGUUUUUAAAAUUAUAUAAUUAUUUUUUAAAAUAAUAAAAACAAAUAAAAAUAAUUAAGAUUAUGUUUAGUUUGUUAAAAAAAAAUAUUUUAUCAAAUUUGAUUUAAUAGUGAAAAUAAAAAUAAAAUAAUAAUUAAAAUUACUUAAAAACCAAUGUAACUUAAAUUUUUUUUUUUUUUGAUCUUUAGCUUAAAAAAAAAAAAUAAAUAAAAUGAAUUUGAAAAGAUAAUUAAUCUCUCUAAAAGGAAGAGACUCAAAAUUAUCGGAGGAAGAAAAAAAGGGAGUAAGAUUUGAAGGAUAAAAAUAAAGAAGGAACAAGUGGGUGGGUAUUGCAUUAUAUCCAUGAGUUGAUCAAUAACUAGCUCCAUUUCCUUUCCUUUAUUUUCUUGCCAGCCAAACAAAAUCUCAAGCCUGGAACCAUCAUCCCAGCAACCAUUUAUUAAAAGCCAUACACCAAGGAUUCGUAUAACACCAUGGAAUCAACCAUCAUCACCCUCUCAAACCUACAUGCCAAAGCUACACAGACUACUCCCAAGUUCCCAAAUAACCAAGCUUCAUAUCUACUAGCUCCAAAACGGUUAAACAAGAUGAAAGAAGGAAAGGAAGAGAUUACUUGAUGAGAGCCUGGUAAAGGCAGAUCUGCAAAAAUUACAAGCCUUGUCCACAUAGCUUUAUUUAUAGCCCCAUGAAAGCAGAAUUACUUCUUCAUUACCAAAUGUCAGUAUAGGCAAUGCCAGACCUCCAUCUUCCCAUGGCUGCCAAGCCCUUUUAUCAAUAUGUGAAGAUGCAAACCAAAAUGGUUAGCCCAUCAUCCAAAGCUAGCUCCUCCUCCUCCUCCUCCUUAUUUACACCUAACAGUUUCCCUGAUUCACAACAAGUUCAAUUUCCUUGCUUAACAUCUUUCAGAUAGAACAGAACAAUUACGAUUACAAUCACAAAAUGUAACACCACCCCACAUCUUCCUCUGUUUAGCUAAGCAUUACAAGACCUCAAAGUUGAUGUUCCAUCAUCAUAAUAGGCAUGGUGUAUUUCCAGUCUCAAACAAGUUAGGUUCCAUCCUAACACCAUAAUGGUGGGUUGUUUUACAUCAGACAACGAAUCUGAGUCAGUUAACAGGCAAAAAGAAACAUUCAAUAGUUCAAGAAGAUGGCUUAGAAUUUUCUGAAAACCUCAAAACUGUUUUCAUUUAUAAUUACAAACCAACCCAAAAGUUGAACAAUAUGAGGCACUGGGCUGAACAAUCACCUCAGAACUCUGGUAAAAAGAAUGAAGGUUUCUAUAGAUAAAAUGGCCUUUGCAAAUAAAGCAAUGAGAAAAACGGGAUAUAAAUUAAGGAAUAAUAGAAUGAAAAUGUUGAAAGGAAUUUCACAUGGCUUCGAAGAAUGAAUAGAUUCCGUACCCUUGCCGAGAAAUUACAUGGCUGCCUUGCCCCUCUGUUGAAGUACUAUAUCAUGCACAACUUCCCCUGCUGAGUUAACAAAGUAGGUUUCCUGCCAUGGAAAAAGAACAUUUGUUGGUGCUUCAACAAGAACAAAUUUAGUCAAAAAAGACAAAUACUCACAAUCUCUAAGGAGCUGACUCUAUGAAGAAGGAACCCAUUAACCAUUCCCCUGAGGAAACAAAGAAAAAAAUCACACAAACUUCAUAGUUUCAUAUGUAUGAACCAAUGUAGAACACCAUGAAGAACUAUGAACAGAAAUACUCACUUACUAAAACCUGAUAUUCCAUUUACAGAAGCAAGAGGAAGUUUUUCAUCUAUUGAACCUGGGUUCCUGAUGUAAGCUAUACUAUCUUUACGAGCAUAGUCACUACAUCCCUCCCCACUCAGGUACACAUCCUGGUGAGCAAAUGCAUGGAUAAAGCGUUACUUUCUUCAUAGGCACCAGAAAGAUUCCAAAUUUAACAUAUCAGAAAGUUGUUCAUUCAAUUCAUUAGGAACUGUCUUAGAUUUUCAUAUAUAUUGAAAAUUUGGACUUUGAUCAUCUCAAAAGCAAGUUCUCUAAAGAACCCAAAAUCAAAACCUUGGGCAUGGGAUGUCUUCACCCAUUGAUACUCAAUGGGAAGAGCCAUAAAUACUUACCACUCCAAACUUAUAAAAAAUAUGGUGUAGAUGCUCAUAAAGUUGUAUUUCUAUUCAUUCCCUGUUUCCUUCACAAACAGCCAAUGAGCAGAAACCAACAACUAUGCGCCUGGAUCAUAAGGAGGAAAAAAGGAGACAAUUAGUACUUGGGAUGGAUAGUUUCUUUAUUAAGUUAAACAUGGAGUUGAAAUGGUAGGGGUGCUUGGCAAUGGCAACAGGACAGCAAACAAUGAAGGUCCAACAUAGUAACCAGAGAAAACAAAAGGAAAACGAAUGUUUUAACUCCACAACAAUUUGGGUUAAGGCAAAAUUUAAAUGAAAACCAAAAUUUUAUUGUUGAAAGAAAGAAAAUUUGUGAAAUAAAAUUAAGUUGAGAAGUAGAUUAUCACGCAUCAGAACCACUCUGAACUGACAUGAUUUUCAAUUUUUUCAAAAUUUUCCAGACAUUACAACCUUGCUUAUUCCUAGGUUCAUGCAAUUAUAAACAGCCAAUAUGGUGCAAUGUCUAGUGUCUUUGUCAGCCCAUGUAAUUGAUCAUUUCCAGCACCAUUUAACGGAUUCAUAAGCAUAAAAUCCUUCAAGUUUCAAAGAGGAGCCCGAUUAAGAGGAAAGAAGAAUGAAAUGCAGCAUAAAGGAGCAGAAACCAAAAAAAAAAGAAACAAAUGGGGGAUAAAAUGUGUGAUAAAUACAUAUAUGGGAUAUUGAUAGUGUAACUAAAUGAAAUAGAUAUCAAAUCAAUCAUAUACACAUAUAAAUACAACAUAGAAAUAAGCAUGGCCAUGGUGAAAAAGGGCUGCAAUGUGGGUUGUAACCAGAGAAUGGAAUAUGGACAAGGAGCAUAAAAAAUGAUUUGGCAGGCCAAGAAAUGGCUAUUUUAAUAUGAUGAAAAAGAAAGAGAACAAAAGAAAUUCAUUAUGAACAUGACUUGAAGAGUACACCUACGCUCAAAUAAUGACCAAGUGAUCAACUUUAAAAUCACAUUCCUAACCUCAGCCCUACCCCUCAUGGAAAAAUGGAAAAAAAAAAAAUUCUUAAAAGGCCUUGAGAGGGGUAAACCUGCUGGGACUCAAACCUGGAACCACCCCACAUCCCCACCCCCAACCCAAGCUACUCGAGCCACACCUCAAGGGUGAUAAAGAUCUAACCUUCAGCAUUGAAUAAAAAAUAAUCUAAAUGUGCAAAAAAUAUCCAGCAUUUUCUCAUGCAUUUUAAUUGCUUACUAGACUAGAUAGAAUCUCCAGUCAUUGAUGAGAACAAAGAACUCAGUGUCUUUAUUAUUAUUAUUGAAUAAAAAAUAAUCUAAAUGUGCAAAAAUAUCCAUUAUUUUCUCAUGCAUUUUAAUUGCUUGCUAGACUAGAUAGAAUCUCCGGUCAUUGGUAAAAUUCAAUAAUUCCAAUUUCCACCAGUUGAUUUGUCAAGUCCCUAAUUAAAUAAUGAAAGAUACAAUACUUGAUGAGUUAUAUACUAAAAUACUUGUGCUUCCCAAUCUAAUUCUAACAAGAACCCUACAAAAUGCACACCUUAAUCCAACUCAACCAACACUCAAUCUUGCGAUUACCUCAUAGUCCACAAGGUACAUCGGAGAGACCUAACUUAUCUUGAUGUUACAAGAUUUCACAUGAACAUCUGAAUACUGGUUUCCAUAAUUCUUUGUUAUCAUACAUCUCCUGGGGCAUGGUAAAGAUGAAUAUAAAAACAAAAUGAAAUCAAUACAAGAAGUUGAUAGCCCCUCUAUGAUCAUAACUGGGGUCAGCACAAUCAGUAACAUAAGAUUCAUGGUGUAGUAUUGAAGUGUAUCAUAAACUCAACACAAGCAUAUGCAAUGUCAAUUAUCAUUAAGUCAACAAUGAUAUUAAACAUUGGUAUAAACAAAUGAAACAAUGACAACACAACAGGAAAAAACCUUAUACAACUAUUAAUCUAUCCUCUUUGGUAGUCUUUUAUCAUCUUCCACAAAUUUCCCAUUUUCCUCCAUAUGCUGCUCAGAAUCCGACCCCAUUUUUUUUGUAUCUUUGUCAACAUUAAAGGAAAUAAAUGCAUGCAACUUUUAAAGAUUUGAGGCCAUGUGAAAAACUUGUCAUUUGAUGUCAAGUUUUUUUUUAUAUGAAAAGGUUUUCCAAAAUGAGAAUUGCAGAACUAUCAAUCUAUCUUCAUCUAGGUUUGGAGCUUCUCAAGUCUUUUAUCAAUUAUCAUCCUCCAUAAAAUUCCAGUUUUCUUCUGUACAUUGCUCAACCUCCAACAUAAUUUUUAAUUUUUUUUCUAAUUAAGAUUAAAUACAUGCAUAUUUUGAAGAUUAAGCCAUGUGGAGAAUUGUCAAUCAAUCGUAAGUUUUUCCUAUAUCAAAUGCAUUUUUUAAAAUUUUCGGCCUUGUUGGAAAAAAGACCUAAUGAGAUGGGUUUGUAUCACAAAACACUAAGGAUUGACUCAAAAGUCCCAAUGAAAUUAUAGCUACUGUAAAAACCAUGUAACCGCUUCCAAACUUAAACCCAUAUUACAAGAGGAUAGUAGAAGAGGCCUCUCUUCCGACUGACAUAAUAACCAUGAGAAGUAUUAGCCAACAAAUCUUAAAUUGAGCAAAUUCAACAAACCAGUUGAUACCUUAAAUGCCCCAGUAUCCAAACCAAUAAUGUCUAAGGUUUUCCCAAAAGGUAUUUUGAUCUGCUUUAGGAAGUAACCUGUUCCCCGUCCUCUUGAAACUCUGGUACUGUACCUACAAGAAUUACAAUUCAGGAUUACCACACAAAGAGACUAAACCAAAAAGACUGUUACAUUAAAAACUACAUCGGAGUCCAAGUUUUGUAACAAUGAAAUUUCAAAAGAUGAGCUACAAAAAUGACACAACUGAUUGCAAAGCGGAUGGCAUACCAGGGAACUUUCAGUGUUGAAAAACGCCAAGUACCCUGUAAAAGAAGAUGUCAUCUUCUAAGAUUGUUCCUAACAGAUGAAACCAAUGAAAUCUAAUUAAACUCAGCACUAAUUUAUUUUCCAAUCACACACCUAUAAAACAAAACAAAAUAAAACUACAGAAAUAAAUAUGAACCACUAUUCCAUUACUUCAACCAAAGCAUGGUUUCUAUUAUUUCAGUUAAAUUCACAAAAAGUUAGGAGAGAAUCAUUUCUACAACUUACCCAGAGUGAAGCAACGCAUAACUUUGAUUAAAUCUGGCUAAACUACAACUAAAGUUUCCAUAUAAAUGGAGUGUAAGCCUAAAGGUGCCACAAGAGAGUUCAUAUAAAAAAUAGUAAAAGGGCUUCCCACAUUGAAUUUACUAGCCAUGGUCUUACAUUGUGUGAGUUGAUCGUCUUCCCCAAGUUCACUAAUGUUUAUCACAAACCUUGCCUUAUAAGUCUUUGCGGCCUUCUCCAUCUUCAUGGGAAAAAACAAUUCCAAUUAGAACAGGGAAGAUAAAAUAUAAACUCAAAAUGCAAUUAAUGUAGUAGACGAUAAUCAUUCAACUAAGAUCAGUAACAGAGGGGGGAAAUAACAAAGCCUAAAAACAGAGAAGGUGGAAGGCAGAAGUAAGUUGGAUGAAUUAGAACCAAGAAGACAAGACAAGAUCAAAACCAACAGAUGAGAAGGCUGACACAAACAAUUGAGAGAGAUCAAAAACUGAACCAUAUAAUAAAAAACUCACUCACAUGAUUAUUCUCUGGCCAAAAGAUAAAGGUUAUGUUAUUAUUUUUUUAUGUUUAGUUUCAAAGUAGAAAAUAAGCGAUAAAAUCAAAUAUAAUUAAAAUUAUUUAAAUUAUAUAUAUUUUUCAAUUAUUUAGUCUAUACAUAGAACAGAAAAAAUAAAUAAAAUGAAUUUGAAAUAAUAUAAAAAAUAAUUUAUUAAAUUUAAUUUAUUUUUAAAUUUUCUUUAUCGCUUUUUCUUUCUUCCUAUUUUUCUUUUCCAUUUUUUUCCCACAUUUUCUCUUAAAUUUUCCACUAAGCAAACAAAGCCAAAGAUCCUCAAGUUGCAUAUACAAUUAAAAACGGAAAAAGAAAGAUCUUCUACUGUUCAACAACUGUCAUAUUAAAAAAAAUAAUAAAAAUAAAAAUUCGAUCCCAGUAAAACCUAACACAAAAUUCUUUCCUCAAAGUUAAAUCAUUCACAUAGAAAUUAACUGAGAAAGAAAUAAUAAACUGUUUGGUUGCUGAGAAAAUGGAGGCAUAGAAAAGGAAAUCAAAAUUUUGAAACUCUAUUAUUUCCAUUAUUCGAAGGCCCGGAAGAAAGAGGGAAAAAACUUCCACUCUUACCUUAAUUUAGGUUGUUUUGUCAAUUUCGAGGGAGGAAAAAACAGGAAAUUAAUUUCAAGCGAUUUCACUUUCAGCAUUCUCAGUAACCAAACGGAGCGUCUGAUAAAACUAUCAUAUCCACCAACAGAGCCAAAACCAAAUAUACCCACCAUCAACAUCUUAAAACAAAAUCCAUAAAGAACGAGAAAAACCCAUGCUUUUCUUCAAUGAACAAAAGGAAUCAAUAGAGAGGAUGAGAAAUAGACCUGUUUGAGAAGAUGGGUCUGCUGAUUAAGAGGUCUAAAUCCUCCUCUAACACUGAUAAAGUAAAGGUCAAGAGGCCUGCUACUGCCACUGCUGCUCUGGGACAUGGGCUUCUCCCAAGGCCGACCCAAGUUGAAUGCACAAGCAGAGAGACAACUGUGUUAUAACAGUGCGAACCCAUGAAGGUUUCCCCAUUGUUAACACAGGUCUCACAGCCUCAGCUCUUCAACUGGUAAUUGAUUUCACUCAUAGAUCUGAAGAUAUAUGAGGAAUGUAACCGUCGACACCCGUAUCUCUAAUUUCCUCAGUGUUAUCAAUUGCUUGAUUAAGAUAUUCGCUAAUGAAGCUCCACUUGGCAGUUGGCAGGCAGGACCCAUUAUUGAAGGGAAAUGCCUCUACAGUUCGUUUAUAUUAUGGACUCUUUGACUAAAAUCGCUUUGUCAUAUUUGAAACUUUCCUCACAAACAAACGCACCAUCAGCCAUUAAACAUCAUAUUUCAGCAUUCUUUUUUUGCCCUUUUGAUAAUUGUGACACUGUCACACUCCUAUCUCCUAAUUUUCAAAAAUUAUUUUAAAUUUAUAAAUUGAGUUACCACUUCAAAAUAUAAAUUUUUAAAAUAAAAUUAAGUACAUUUAUACUAAAUAUGUGUAUUUGCGUUUAUUACCUUGUAAUAAUAUUUUAUUUAUUUUAUUCUUUAUUAUUAUUGUAAUUUAGAUGAGUUGGUUCGAUCUAAUCUAAUAUUUGAACGAAUUUGGAUAUUUAUUUUUAAUAUUCAGAUUAGACUUUGGUUCAUUUUUUAAAUCUCAUCUUAAUUUGGAUUUGGCUUGAGAGAUACCUCUAAUGAAAAUUAUUAUGGUUCUCUUUAUACAUUCUAUUCUAUUUUUCUUUUAAUAUCUUUGUUUAUUCUCUCGUCUUUUCUUCUUCUUAUUCUUUUAUUUCACAACAUGUUAUCAACACAGUUCUGAAUAUAUAGAAAAAGAGAAGAAUUCAUCUAGAAAAUUUCUUAUAGGUAUGUAGUCUUAUUCUCUUCGAAUGAAAUAUGAAUAGUAUGCAUUGUAUUAUUAUAAUUUUUAUUUACUUUAUCUCAUAGCCAGAAAUUAUGUGAAUCAUAUUUCAUAUAAUUACAUAUUUUAAUUAUUUAAUAACUAGAAGUUAUAUAGAAAAUUUUUCAUAACUAAAAGUUAUGAAAAAAAUAUGUCCAAUCUUUAUAACAAGAUGUUAUGGAGUAAAUUACAAAAAUACAAAUACGUAGUCGGAAACUAUGCAUAAGAUCCCUAAUUACUUUUUUAUUAUAUUAUAUAACUGAAAGUUAUAUAAAAUAACAUUAUAUGGCCAGAAGCUAUAUAAUGAAGAGUUCAUAAUAUGAAGCUAUGUACAAAUCCAAAAUUACAAAUAUACGACCAGAAGCUAUGUAUAUAACUCAUAAUUAUUUGUUUUUAAUUAUAUAGUAUAACUGAAAGUUAUACAAAAUAAUAUUAUAUAGCCAGAAGCUAUAAAAUGAAUAGUUUAUAGCUUGAAAUUAUGCACAAAUCUGCAUAAUGAAUAGCUCAUAGCUUGAAGUUAUGCACAAAUUUAUAUAAAAAAUAGUUCAUUGCCUAAAACUAUGUACAAAUUUAAAUAUUUUCUUGUUAUGACAAAAUAAUCAUAACUUGAAGUUAUGAAAGAUAUUAACUUUUAAUUUCUUUAUUUUCUUUUAAUUAUAUUGUGUAACCGGAAGUUAUACAUAAAUAGUUUAUAGUCUGAAGUUAUGCACAAAUUUACAUAAAAAAAAAAGUUCAUACCCUGAAUCUAUGUAUAAAUUUGCAUAUUUUUUUGUUUUGAUAAAAUAAUUAUAACUCAAAGUUAUGAAAAAAUAUUGGCUUUUAAUUUUUAUUUCAUAUUCACUUAUUUUUCACAAUAGAAAUCAUGGAAAACAAUUUUUAUUAACAAUGGUUUCAUAACCAGAAACUAUGCAAACAAUUUCUAAUUCUCUUGUAUAACCAGAAGUUAUACAAAACAAAAUUGUCAAUGAACAACUAUGUACCUAGAAGAUAUAUAAUUUUUUUUAAAUUUUGUUAUAUAAUCAGAAGUUAUAUCAUAAUAUAAUUGUCAAUUGUUUAAUGUUAUUAUAACAUUAUUUAAAUUUUAAUUAUUCAUAGCCUGAAGCUAUGAAGAUAAAGUUAGUAAAUUAUUAAUUAUUAGAGCUUGUAUAAGAAGUUAUAUGAAUAUAUAUAUAUAUAUAUAUAUAUAUAUAUAUAUAUAUAUAUAUAUAUAUAUAUAUUAUAACCAGAAGUUAUAUAAAUAUUAUUAUUCAUAAACCAAAGUUAUGAAAAUAAGAAAAUUAAUAUUCUUUGUGCUAAUCAAAUGUUAUGUCAAAGUUGCUAAUAUGUACUUUUUUUUAUAGUUAGAAGCUAUAGAGAACAAAAUUGUUAACUAACAAUUUUGUACAACUUUAUGAAAUUUAUAUGACCAAAAGUUAUAAUGAAAUAUAUUAUAGCUUGAAGCUAUGAUAACAAGCAUAUAGAUAAUAUUUACAUAUUAUCAAAAGAUUAAUAUUUUGUAUAUCAAGUUAUACAAAUAGACAAGUGUUUGAUAGUUUUUAUAAAUUUCUAUUAUUAGAAGUAUAUUGUCAUUAGUAGAAAAAUUUAUAUAUAGAUGUGGAAUUUUGAAUUGCAUGAAAGUAUGAUAUUUUUGUAUCAGAGGCGAUGGUUUGGAAUACUUUUUUUAUUCAAGUUAUUUAAUAUACAAUAAUAUUUUGAUUUAGAAAUUUGAGAUUUUUUGGGUACAUGUGAAAUAUAUGACUUGGUCAUAUGAUUAAUAAAUUGAUUUCGCAUGUCUUAUUUGUUUAUAACAUGUUUUUAUGAUUGAAAUUUUUUGAGUUGUAUAAAAUAAUAUAUAUUAUUGUAUGUUGUCACAUAUGAUAUUUUUAUUAAUGCAUUAAUUUCAUUAUUCAAGAAUAUCUUUUCAAAAACAAUAGAUUCAACUAUUAUUUUUAAUAUAUUAUGUUAUAUCUUUACAUACAUAUUUAUAUAGAUUUGUAAUGUUUCAAUUGAAGUUUUGAAAUAACAAGAUGCUUUAAAUCAUGAUAUGUUCUUUUGAAAUUUUGAUUUAUGAAUUAAUUUCUGCACAUUGAUUUAGAACGUAAUAAUAUUUUGAAUAAAAAUUAUUGAUUUAUCACUACAAUUAGUUUGAUUAUUGAAAGACUUCCUAGUUAUUUCAUAUAUAAAUUGCUCCACACUUAUAAAAUCAAAUGUGUGAGAUAUUUAAGAAACAUAUAACUUUAAAUUAUCUUUUUCAUAUUUGUUUUGUUGUGUUAUAUAUGCUUUCAUUGUUUUUACACAACUUAUUAAGGUAAGUCAUCAUCGAUGACUAGUAUUUUUCCAUUUGAUUUUAACUCAUUCUCUAUGAUAAUAUUUCUUCAACUUUGAGGUCUUUAUGACAUGUUUUAUGACUUGUUAUUUUGAUGAAACUCUUAUCUCAUUAAUUGCACAACAUUGAUAACAAACAAUGUUAAUACUAUAUCAGGUGAUAUAAACCUAAUUAAAGGCUCUAGAAUAACUUAUAAUAUGUCACUAGUAGUAUUUGAUUCCAUGUGAAUGACACUUUAUACGAUGAUAGAUCAAGAAGAAUCUUGUAAGACCAACUUGGUCCCCCAUGGUAAAAGGUCGUAUGGAUGUACAUUAUAAAACCAGAAGUUUUUAUUUAGUAACUAGUCUACCUAUACACUUGAAAGAUAGAAUGACACGUUGUGCAGAUUAUCAUUUUAAUUAGACAAUUUUCUUGCCGUUAGGGAUAGAAGAGUCAAUUCCAGAAGAACAGCGUGAAAUUAUUUGGAAUGCAUCGACUUUGACUUAUCUUGAUCCUCGUACUAAUCAAUGUGAAGUGGAAGUUCAAAAGAUUAUUUAUUUGCAAGAACUUGUAAAUCAUUAACUACAUGUUAUCAUUGAUGCAAAGAAAGUGACAAUCAUUUUCGCUUACCUAGAACAUUCCAGUACGAAUUAAUGUCCCUGAAUGACAAUUAAAUAAUGCGUUGAUGUCCCUAAAUGACAAUUAAAUAAUGAGUUGAUGUCCCUGAAAGACAAUUAAAUAAUGAGUCUAAUGCACACUUGAAGCGUGGUAAACCCUGAAAAGGCAAACAAAUUCCUUUAAAAGAAAAACACAAGGAAAGAUAUAUGAAAUGUGACACUCUUGAAGAAGUUGCAUAUAAAAUGAGUUAUUAAAAUGAUUGAUCAAUCUCAAGCAGCCCCUGAAGAGGCACAGUUUAAACAAGUAGCCCUAUGAUAGGUGUAUGUUUAAUAAUUAGUUCCUGAAAAUGUACAAGUACCUGAUAUUGAUGAGAUCUCAAUUAUUUACUUAUAUAUGGAAAAAAAAUGGGAUUGAAAUACUCUUGUCAUUAACAAUAUAUUUUCUUUCCAAAUAGCUGUUGACAUUAUAAGAAAUGAUGAGGAUCCCAAAGUAGAAACUAUGAAUGAAUGUCAACAUAGAAAAUAUUGGCCAAAAUGGAAAGAAUUCAUCCCGAAUAAAUUAUACUCAUUAGAAAAAUGAGAAGUAUUUGGACAUGUAGUCUAAACGCCUGAAGUUGUCAAACUUAUUGGAUAUAAAUGAGUAUUUAUAAGAAAGUGUAAUGAGAAAAAUGAAAUCACAAUAUAUAAAAUGUGACUCAUAGCUCAAGGUUUUCCGCAGAAACCUACUAUUAACUACGAGGAAACAUAUUCUCCUAUGAUGGACGCAACCAUAUUUAGAUAUCUAAUUUGUUUAACAAUCUUAGAAUGACUAGAUUUGCGUUUCAUGGAUGUCAUUAUUGCAUAUUUACGUGAAUCUUUAGAUAAUGACACACACACACACACAUAUAUAUGAAAAUCCCUGAAGGAUUUCAAAUGCCUGAAGCAACAAAUUCAAAACAUUGUAGCAUAUACUCAAUUAAGUUACAAAGAUCCUUGUAUCAAUUAAGCAAUCCAAAAACAUGUGAUACAAUCACUUCAAUGAAUAUUUGAAGCGAGAAAUAUGUAUGUAUUACCUUAUUUAUUUAUACAUAUUCAUUAUAUUGAAUUUUUUCAAUUAUUAUUGUAUAUGUGGAACAUUGAUUUUUUUUGGAACUCCUGAAGAGCUUACAAAAAUAGUUGACUAUUUAAAAAGUAAUUUUUGAAAUGAAAGAUCCUGGAAAACAAUUUUUUUUUCCUCGGCCUGCAGAUCGAGUAUUUUUCAAACGAAAUAUUAGUUUAUUAGUCAACAUAUACAAAGAAAUUCUUGAAGCACUUUUAUAUGGAUAAAUCACAUCCAUUAAGUUCUUUGAUGAUAGUUCAUUCACUUGAAGUGAAAAAUGACUCCUUCUGUCCUAAAGAAGAUAAUAAAGAACUACUUGGUCCAAAAAUACCAUAUUACAGUGUUAUUGGUGCACCGAUGAAUCUUGUAAAUUAUACAUGACCAAAUAUUGCAUUCUUUGUUAAUUUACUUAUGAGAUAUAGUUCUACACCAAUUCAAAGACAUUGGAAUAAAAACAAUCAUGUACUACAAUAACAUGGGUCUAUGUUAUUCCAAAUGAUCAGAAUCUUAAGUGCUUGAAUAUGUAGAUGUUGACUAUCUUUCACACCCCCACAAAGCUCGAUUUUAAAUGAGGUAUGUAUUUAUCUAUGGUGGUACGACAAUAUCGUGGAGAUUAAUCAUGCAAAUAAUGGAAACAUGUGGACUACCCUCCAUCAAAGGUAAUGCUACCAAGUUAAUAAUGUUGCAUGCAUUGCACAUAUUAAAGAAUGAUACAUUAAGGGUGAUAGAAUUAAGUAUAUAUCGUCCAAGUCUUUUACUUUCAUUAACUCAAAAAGAGUGAUGAAAUUGCUAUUCGACGACAAUUUAGUAGAUCUAUUCACAAAGGCAUUGCCAAUUGUAAUACUCAAGAAGCUCAUUGGAAUACAGCGACUCAAAGAUCUCCAUGUUGUGCUACUAGAGAAAAUAUAAUCAUGUCAACAUGAGGGGGAGCUAAUUGAUAAGAAUAUCACUACGCUACACUCUUUUUUCCUUCAUCCAAGUUUUGUCCCAUUGGAUUUUACUGGCAAGGUUUUUAAUGAGACAGUUGUGGUAAUCCAAAAAAAUAUUGUACUCUUUUUCUUUCACUAGGGUUUUUCCCAUAGGGUUUUUCCUAGUAAGGUUUUAAUGAGACAUUCUUAUGAUCAUCCAAGGAGGAGUAUUAUAAAAUAUGAGAUUUUGUAUCACUAUGGUAACUUGUGGAUGAUCAUUCAUAUUAAUGUACAUCUCUUUGUAACUCCCUAUAAAAAGGAGAUACCUCUAAUGAGAAUUAAUCCGGUUCUCUUCCUAUAUUUUGUUAUACUUUUCUUUGAAUAUCUUUGUUUAUUCUCUCGUUUUUUUUUUCUCAUUCUUUUAUUUCACAACAUAUAUAUAUUGUUAGGAAUUUGAGGCUAAUCCAACUUAUGGUAAUCACCCUAGAGGGGGGGGGGGGGUGAAUAGGGUGAUGGUCUCUUUUCGCAAAUUUAAACAAGUGAAUGUAAGAGACAAUUAUAUACAAAUAUCAAUAUAUAUAUAUAUAUAUAUAUAUAUAUAUAUAUUGUUAGGAAUUUGAGGCUAAUCUAACUUAUGGUAAUCACCCUAGAGGGGGGGGGGGGGUGAAUAGGGUGAUGAUCUCUUUUUGCAAAUUUAAACAAGUGAAUGCAAGAAACAAUUAUAUGCAAGUAUCAAUAUAUAGACAAUUGCAUAUAAAUUAAAGAGUAGGGAAGAGAGAAUGCAAAUACAAGAGUUUAUAGUGGUUCGGCGCAACCCGACCUACAUCCACUCUCCUCUAAUUUCAAUCCUGAGCUUGAGGUUCCAUUAAUCCAAGACUUCCAAACCAAGCCUUCAAGCAAUACAAUUGGAUUAUGGUUCCAAUUCACCCUCUUGGACUUUUGGCUCCAAGCACCCUUUACACUUCUCAAGAGAUAUCCCACUCUUGAACAACCCUUCAAGUGAUACCCCACACUUGAGAAACUUCCUCUCAAAGAUUUACAAAUGAAUGAUCUCUCAAAAAUCCUAGCACAAAAACUUUAAGCUCAAAUGAUACAAGAAAAACUAUGAUUGAAUGGUGCACUAAAGACAUGCAAGUUUUGAAAUAAUGGUGCACUAAAAAAUACUCUUCCAAGGCUCAAAUAUAAUCAAGAAAGAUUUGGGAAGAUUAAGCUCUCGAAACAAUGAAUAUUGGAGCCUUUUUAUAGAAGAAAAAAACCAAACUAGCCGUUGGGGGUUCGUCCGGUUGAGCUAGGGGUUGAUUGGUUGACUAGCCGUUAGCAUUUAAUGAUUGGUAGGUGACUGUUGGGCCUCAAUCGGACCUCGACCGGACCUCAACCGGUUGAUGUUCAACCUUGACCAGGAAGAGAAGGCCACUAGGAGAGAGAGAAACUUUUUAGCCUCCUUCAACCGGUCCUCGACUGAACGAGCACAACCGGUGAAUCGGUUGAACCGGUUGAAUCAUUUUUUGGCUCAAUACCCAACCUUUUUCAACUUAAAACCUUUUAACACAAGUUUGAAAAUCAUUUAACACAAGGUUUUAGUUAAAAAUAUGAAAUCAUCCAAUUCUUAAAAUUUUUAAAACAAUAUUACUUUUGGAUGAUUUUGAUGCAAAAAUAAAGAAUGAAAUGCAUGAAAGUCCUAGUGCACCAACAACCUUACAAAGAGAUCUUAUGAAGCUUUGGUCUUAAAAAAAUUUUCUCUUUGAGGUGAUCUUCUUCUUCAUGAUUUCUCCUUGGCUUGAUUUGUCUUUAUGAUUGCCACUUUGGAAAUCAUUUUGCCUAAUCACACUUGAAAUAUGACCAUUAGUUUUAAACCUUGUUUUGUUAUCAUCAAAAUCAAGAUUAACCAAACUUUGGUUUCACACACACACACACACACACACACACAUAUAUAUAUAUAUAUAUAUCAAACUAUAAUUAUAUAAUUUUUUUAAAUGUAUAAAUCCAUUUUAUUUUUUUAUUAUCUUAAAAUUUUUAUUUUUAAAUAUAGAAAUGUAUUUUUGUUAAAAAAUUAUAUUUCAUAUUUUUGUUCCAUUAUUACUUUUAUUCCUUCUUUUUUGUUUGAUUUUUGCAUGUUAUGUUGUCCAUUUUUCAUUUUUAUUUCUUUCAUUUUUUUUAUUUGGAAAAAAAUAAAUAAAAUAUAAUUAAUAGUGACAAAUGAAAAUAAAAAAAGAAAUGUUGAAAAAUAAAAAUAAAAUUGGUCAUUUUCGUGCAUUUUAUUUUAUUUGUGUGUUUUGAUUAUUCUCCUUUUUAAACAAUUGCAUAAAAGAAAAAAAAAUGAAAAUGAUUGUAGGUGAUUUUCUUGAGGAAAGUAUUCGAAAGUUGAUGUAUAAUGUCAAAGAAGAGUCUUCGUUGUAGGUGGGACGAGAGAGAAAGCUACUUUGAAUUUUGAAACUUUACCAUCUAAAAUCAAAACAAAAUCAAGUGCAAUUUAUGCAAUUUUGUAGGAAAUUAUUAUUAUUAUUAUAAUGGUAUAACAAGUUUAAUAUAAAAAAUAAAAAAAUUGUAGUAUAAAAAUAUUAUAAUAAAAUAAAUAAAUUUAUUUUUAAAAAUAUGAAAAUUAAUAUAAAAAUAUUAGGGAAAAAUUAUGUGUACACAUAAAAAAAUAAAAAAUAAAAAUUGAUGGAUUAAAUUACUAUUGAAAUUAUAAUCCGACUUAAAGUCAAAUUAGAAGAAUUUUAUGAAAUGUCAUAUCAAAACUAAAAUACUAAAAAAUGUGCAGAAUCAAAAGAAAAUUAUAAUUUUGUUCGUGAAAUUAUGACUAUAAACAAUAACUCAAUUCAUUUUCAACUCCAGUAAAAAAUUUGAUAAGUUGUGUAUAUGCAUGUCUUGUUUAAAUCUCAAUAUCUAUAAGAUCUAGUGAAUAAUAGUGUGGACUCCGCAUUUUGCACGAUGUGUUCUCACUCAAUAGCGUGACUUGCUUUUCGUUUAUUUGUGAAAAAUUAUGAUUUUUAGAAAAUACUUGGAGUCGCCACUUAUUUUUGUUUUAUUUUUUUAAGGGAAAACAAAGUAAGAAAAAAACUCUAAGUGUGACUCUUUAUUUAGAAAAAACGGUUUGUGAAAAACCAAACCUGGGUUUGGGGGGUUAGGUUACUUAUUGAGAAGGUAGGGUAAAGACCGUAGCACCCCUCUAAACCCCUAAAAAUGGGUCUCUACUAAAUAAGGUGAGUCAAACCUGACAAUUAACUAGGAGAUCAAUGGAUACUAAAAUGAUCAUAGGUCAAAAGCAAGUCAUGAUAAUGAAUAAAUAAAAAAAGUGAGAGUGAGAACGUACCUUGACAGUAGGUAAUAAAGCGUUAUCAUGGAAACAAGGUUAGCUUAAGUAUAAAUUUAUUACACGCAUAUCAAAGAUCAAGACAAAAAUCAAGCAAUAUUCGUUAAGCAUAACAUUUGACAAUCAGAAGAGAAAACUCAUAUGUGGGACCCCCACCAAAGCCCAAUUUAUCUUGCACGAAUUAGUCUCACAAAUUUCAUUAUUUUGGAAUUAUGAAAAAUUCAUUUUUGCUUAUUUAAAAUAAAGAUAAACAAAAAAUUAUUUGAUAAUUGAAGAAAAUUUGUACAUGUGCAUACCAAAAUGAGAAUGGUAGCAGACUCAUUAAAAUCAGGAUUUUUGGCAACCUAAAACCCUAAUAAAUGAUGAAAAGUUGUAGAAAUUAAAAAAUAUUUGAAAAUUGGAGUGGAAUUAAAAUUGUUCAAGAGAAAACUAGAGUUUUGAAAAUUGAAGUCUAAAAAAUUAUUUGAGAAUUGGAGUUUUGAAAAUUAAAUUUAAGAAUUUAAAUUUUUAGAAAUUAAAUUUGAAAGAAAUUUGAAAUUUGAAAAUUAUUUGAGAAUUGGAGUUUUCAAAAAUUAAAUUUAAGAAUUGGAAUUUUGGAAAUUAAAUUUUGAAAGAAAUUGGAAUUUUGAAAAUUAUUUGAGAAUUGGAGUUUUGAAAAUUAAAUUUAGGAAUUGGAGUUUUGGAAAUUAAAUUUGAAAGAAAUUGGAGUUUUAAAAAUUAAUUGAGAAUUGAAGUUUUGAAAAUUAGUUUUAAGAAUUGGAAUUUUGGAAAUUAAAUUUGAAAGAAAUUGGAAUUUUGAAAAUUAUUUGAAAAUUGAAGUUUUGAAAAUUAAAUUUAAGAAUUUGAAUUAAAUUUGAAAGAAAUUGGAAUUUUGAAAAUUAUUUGAGAAUUGAAGUUUUGAAAAUUAAAUUUAGGAAUUGGAGUUUUCGAAAUUAAAUUUGAAAGAAACUGGAGUUUUGAAAAUUAAUCGAGAAUUGGAGUUUUGAAAAUUAGUUUUAAGAAUUGGAAUUUUGAAAAAUUAUUUGAAAACAAAAGUUUUGAAAAUCAGAAUUUCGAAAAAUUAUUUGAGAAUGGAAUUUUUAAAAGAUCAAUUUUUUAACAUAAAAAGAUGGAUUAGGAGGGUGACACGUCAAACAUUGGAUAGCAGCCCUCUAGAGUGGAAUCCCAAGGUUCUCCUCAAAAAAUACCUCAAUGCCUAAAUGGCUAAGCAUCUGUCUAAAAAAAAAAAGUAGCAAUAGUAGGUUUUCCAUUUGUUCCAGUCACUACUAAUAUCUUAAUACUUCUUGGAAGAAUUUCUGCAGCAAAAUCCAACUCAGACAGUAUUCUCUUCCCUGAUUGCAACAAGAAGGAAAGUCCAUGACUUUCCAAGGGAACUCUUAGUGAAACAACUACCAUUUCGGCAUCCUUGAGAAGCUUUGUGUCAAAAUGUCCAAGAACGAUUUUCAAAUGACCAUGCUUUUCAAACAGGAGAUCGAGCUCUAGCGAGAGCAAGCUUUGUUGCAGCUCUACCAGAUUUUCCCAACAAGAAAACAGGAAGCUCUCAACCAAACCCAAAUUCACGAAAGAGAAUCAAACCAUAUGGGAAACAUCCGGAUCGGCGCGGUAGCUACAGUCUUGUAACAAAUCUCACUUGGGGUCUAGAGAUUCAUGCUACCUCAAGCUUUUUCUUAUCAGCCUCAUCAUCCCAUGGUUUCACAUCCUAGUGUACAAUCGCAUACCCAAGAAUGCACAAACACAAGGAGUAGGGAGAAAACAACAAAAACAUAGCACAAAUGAAGAAAAUAAUAUGAACCAUCAAAAGCCACACUUCAUGUCUUAGUCAGUGGACUUAAAGAUAGGUGGAUUAAAAGGAUUUCUAAAUGUCACAAAAGAGAUAAAAAUUAGUUGGACCAAUUUUUGAACACAAAUUGGAGGAACAAAGGAGCCAUUAACUAUGAAAAAAAAAAUAAAGAUUGGUCGUAUUGGAGAAAGACAACAUUUGGUAUUGCAGAAGAGAGACAACAUUGUGUCACAUGAUGCAUGCACAAAUGACCCUUCCCAUGGGCUUAUAUUGGAGGUGGGAAGCUUCUGAAAACUCCUUAAGCCAUCUAUACUAAGCUAUUGGUGGGAAGAGUGUGGAAGCUUCUUAAAAAGCCUAGGGAUGUCCACAUAUCUCUACAUUAUGGUGGAAGGCAUGAGAAAAGUCUAAGACUUUCUAGAGAGCUCUAGAGGUCUCUUGUAUAUUCUUGUAUGUAAGCUUGUACAUAGAAUUAUAUAGGGUGUUCUAGAAUAUCCAUGAGUUGUAAGGAACCCUCUAAGGUUCUAGAGAGUUCCAUUGGUGUUUAUAAAUAAGUGAGGGUCUCAUUUGGCCAAGGCACCAAGCAAGUGAGUUUCCAAGCAUUAUAUAGCUUUCUUUGAAAGCAGUAAAACUUCUAUUAUUUAAGUGUUGCCUACUACGCCCUCUAAAGUUUUUAAGUUGGGUGCGUCUUAGCGUAGCAAGCUAAGUAUUAGGAGUAAUGUUAACUUAUCAAGAUCAAGGGUCUUGACUUGUCUAAGUGUCGCACAAGCUUAGGAAAAGACUAAGUUUAUGACAGUUGGCAAUAGGUUGUGGAUAAGUGGUGGUGGUGAUGUGGAGAAAGUGAAGGAAACAUAGAAAAAUAAAGACGGGAAAGGAAAAGAGAGAGAAAAAAAGACUACUAGGUAGGGGAAGCUAUGAGCGGUGGCCAACGACGACACUAAUGGAUAAUGUCGUCAAUAGUGGCGGUAGAUUCGAUGGAAGCGGUAGAUUCGGUGGGAAGUGAGAGGUGACGGGGAAUUGAACUUUGGUUCUCCUCCCAUUGCAAUCACCAUCAUUCUCAUUUUCCGCUUAGGAUCAAUGUGCCCCCUCUAAACAACAUUGACAACCCCGUCAUCUUUUUCAUUUCUAGUGUUGUUUUCUAUAAUUGGAACUAGGUUUUCAAAAACAUCAACUAUCUUUGGAGGAGUAGUACUAGUAUUGUGAAUGAUUGAAACUGUGAUUUCAAAAUUAGGUUGGGUUCCAACAUAGAGGUAAUAGAGGUUGUUAAGCCUUUAGGAAGACAUGCACAAGUGAACAAUGUUCUUAGAGAUUAUAAUGGUGGAAGAAGGCCAUAAGAAGACAAGAAAAGAAAAGGGAAAAGAGAAAAGGACUCUCUUUCACGCCACCUACCCAUUUUCAGUGUUGACACCUUUCUCCCAUUGGCAUCAUCCUCUCCAAUCGUCACCUACCAAUCAUCACCACAUCUCUUACUUUCAUGACAAUUUUUUUUAAGAUAAUUUUGGAACAAAUUCAAAAACAUUGUUAGAGUGCAUGCAUUAUUAAAUUUUUUUCUCCACUUUAUACUUAAAAUGAAAAGAUAAAAGCAAAAUUCCAUAAACCUUAUAGCUCGUUUAACCAUAUAACUUAAAAACAAUUUUUUUAACACUUUCAAUUGUGGUUGUUCAUUAUUCUCAAAAAAAAAUAAAAAAUAAAAUAAAACUAGAUUGAAAAAAAAAUCAGGAAACAACCUCAUUGAUUUAAAUUAUUAUUUAAUUACUCCCAUAAUCGUAUGAUUAUUCUUAUGUUUUUGUUAUGUUAUAUUAACAAGUGAAUACUAUGUUGUUAAUUCUGGAUAUCCUUGUACUAUAGGUUUUCUUCCUCCAUAUUGAGGUAAAAGGUAUUAUUUGUAAGAUUAUCCUAGCAGAAGUUGUUAAUCGAAGACUAAUAAAGAAUUGUUCAAUUAUAGGCAUUCUCGUUUAUAAAUAUAAUUGAGUAUUGUUUUGUGUGUUAAAAGCACAUUUUUCAGUUUUAAAAAUGAUGUCAUCUUACAAACCAAGUAGACAACUAUAAAUAGUUGUAGCUUGUUGUACUCUUUAUAAUUUCAUUCAUAAAUAGACUUAAAAUGAUGUUAUGUUUAGACAAUGGGAAGAAGAACUUGAAUUUGAAGAUAAGGACGAUACUACAAUUGAAGUAAGUUAUGCAAUGACUUUAUCAGAUGAAACAACAACGACUAUGAUAGCUUAUCGAGAUCGUAUUUCAUAGUAGAAAUGGAAUGCUUAUGUUAAUAGUUUGUAAACAUUAGUCAUUAAAUAGUUAUAUUAAUAUACGAAGUAAGGAUGUGAAAUAUGAAAAUUGUUUAACUAUUAUAAUUGACUUGAAGUAUUUUGUGUGUACUUGGUUUGCAAUUGUUUUUGUUUCAAUUUAUUUUAUUUUAUUUGUUUUUCCUAUUAAAAAAAUCAAUCCAACUAUUUAUUUUACUCUCAUUAAAAAAUGACUAUUAAAAUUAUUUUUAAUCUUAUAGUAAUUUUUGUUUUAUUUGAAUAAAAAAAAUUGUUUAAUAAUUAAAACAAUUAUUUAUCUAUAAUUUAUAUAUAAUUUGAAUUUUAUUUAUUUAUUUUUAGUGAGAUUUAACUUGAAUGUGAUUUAUAUUAAUGUAAAUUAAAUUUUAAAAAUAAAAAUAGAAAAAUUGUUUUUAAAACCAAAGUCGAUUCUUUUAUACAAACAAGUUUUUGUUUUUUAUCUUUAAAAAUUAUUUUUGAAAACAAUUGGCCAAACAAUUUUUCUUUUUAAAAAAUACUAAAAAUGCCAUUUUUUAUUCUUUAUCUUAAAAAUAAUUUUUUAAAUUAAAAAACACAAUCAAACACCUUAUUUUGUUUUUAUUUUUGGUGUCUGGUUGCAUAAUUUUCCCAUUUUUUAAAACUGAAUUUCAAGCAAGCUCUUAAUUAUGUAAUUAAAAACUUGUUUGGUAGUAAUUUUAAGAAGCGAUUAUAAUAUUCCUAACACUUAAAAAAAAAAUUAUUUUUCAAGUAUACAACGUAGAAAUACUUGUGAGGAUCACUGCUACACAUGCUCUAUGUAGACAUAUCCCACUUCUAAGUUCUAACUCUUCAACGUCUGAACUCUUUUGAUGAAAUCCACACUCAAACCACCCAAAUCCAAGUCCCAAAUGCAGCCACUGCUUCAUCCAGGUCUGCUUCAUUCUCAUUUCAUCACUUCCUUUUUCUAUUAAUUAUUUUAUGAUUGUCCUUUUUGUUUCUUUUGUAUGAAUCCUAAGUGUCUUAUUGUUUUCCAUGGGCAGAAAAUACUUCCAUGAGAAAUUCUUCCCCAGAAAAUUUCCCCAACCUUGUCUGGUAAUAUACCCAUGUUUUUUUCCUAAUCUUUUGCGUCAAGCUUGGAAACUUCUGCUUCUGUCUUGUGCCCCUUAUGAUGGGUUUUGGAGUCAAAAUAAGAGACGUAAUGAUGAAUUCCAGAUAAUCCAUAUCUUAAAGUGAGAAAAUAUUCAAAAAAGAAUUUGUUGUGUUGAGAGGGAUUGCUUGAGAAGUUCAGGAUUAGGGAAUUAUUUUAUCUCAGUAUGGUUUAGAAUUCCAGUUUGGCAAAUUCAGGAUUCAGGACUGGCUUUGGGCUCAAAAUGAUUUGGGGUUUCUACUCAGAAACAUCCAAAAUUGAACUAUUUGACAAAUUUGGGGUGUGGGAGCUGUUCCUUUGUGGGAUAUUUGUGAAUGAUUAUGGAAUUGCUGAACUGUAUUACAUAAAUUCAAAUUUUAUUUGCUUGAUGGGGAAUUGGCCUGGGAAAAGAUAGCUGAUCACAUUAUCCCACCUUUGAUAUCAGCUGUUGCUUUGAUUCUCAAACUUUUAAAUGGAGAAAUGACUGUUGUAGAGAAGAAUAAAGGGAUAAGGUUUUGUUUGGUGGACUUGUUUUCCAUGUUUCUUCUCCUCUAAAGGUUAGGGGUGAAAGCAACUUAUAGUUGAUGGUUGUCUUCAGAAAUAAGCUGAUCAUAUCAUAGCUGACCGAUUUCUUCUUUGGCCAUCUUGAAGCAAUUUUAGUAUUUAUUUUAUAAGCUGAUUUUGGUGUCCAAGAAAUUAUUCUUAACAUAAUUAUUUUUUUUUUAAAAUAUCAAUUAUAUUUGAUUGGUAUUAUCAAUUAUGCUUUGCGGACCAAGCAUGACUCAUCUUAUUUGGGCCUCCCACUACUUUAAUCCUACACAGAUGACACAUUUUUAUUAAGAUCCAGAUCCUAUUAUCAUGGACUGGGCAAUGGAGGCUCAGAUCCGGCCGUAAUCAGACAAGCUGCUGGGCCGCCAUGGCUGCAACUACGGUUGCCUGUAAAAUGAAACCCAUUUCACAGAUCAUCCGGGUUGCCCCACCAAGAAACGAGCCCUUCAUAAUCUCUGAUUUACUUGAAAAGUAUCAUCAUAUCCCCUCGAUUUUCUCAUUGGGAACCAAACAGAUCGAGGACCCUUUGAAGGACCCUAAAUACAUCCAACCAAACAAUCAUAAAUAAAUAAAUAAAGAUGGACAUCACGGGUCCAGGGAGGGCUCAGAUCCGCCUGUAAUCAGACAAGAUCCAUGUUCGCCAUGGCUGCAACUACAGUUGCAUGUGAAAAAAAGGGCAUAGAAACCCAUUUCACACAGUCCGGGUCGCCCUUGGAAAGUGUCAUCACAGCCACUUAAUUUUCCUGCACAUUUUCUCAGCAACCAAAUAGAUACAGAUCCUUCUCAGAAAACACAUUUUAAAACACAAACAAAUAAACCAAAACAAAACAAAGACCAGACUCAGCGCGGAAGUGCAUAGCGCGUAAAAGGAAGGCUCAGAUUCGCCUUUUAUCAGACAAGAAAAAGAUGACCGUCCUGGCUGCAACCACAGUUGCUUGUGAAACAAGGCACAAAAGGUCGCCCAAACCAUCCGGGUUGCCCCGCCAAGAAACGGACAUUCCCAGUGCCUGACUUACUCUGAAAACGUCAUCACAGCCUUUUAUGUUGCCCAUAUGAACAGAGAGAGAGCGCUGUUGAUUUUCCAGAGAAUCAAGACAGCCUCUGAUGUACAUGUACACACGUGUAUGAGAAGCCCUUUUCUGAAGUUCCCAAUAUUUCCUACCAGUCCAGCCCGCGCACAGGAUACAAAUUUUUUUUAAAACAUAUGAUGUUAUUUGGUAAUCUGAUCAUGAUUUGCAGGCAAAGGUCGUGUUUUCCAGCCUGGCUCAAAAAUCGUGGAUUUAGGGUUCGUGAAAUUUAAAUCCAAUAGCACAAAAGCAAAGAGACCCCUAGAACAGAUCCAGAAAACACAGGGAGCAAAGAAAAAAACAAUUUUUUUGGUUUUCGUGGGGGGUUUUGCAUGGAUUUUCUCGGAAAUCAAACGAGGAUGAAUUUUCCCGGAAAUCGAAAGGGGGAUGGAUUUUCUUGAGAAUCAAACGGGGGUUGCAAAAAAAUAAUAAUAAUAACAUGAUUAGAUUAGUACCUGCGAGGAUUGAGAGUGGCAGAGGAAAAUAGGGCCUUUUUAGGGAUUCUCUCGUCCGGAGGGCAACUUCAGAAAAGGACUUCUUGAUGCCCGAGUGAGAGAAGUGGAUGGCCCUUUCGAUUUUUAUAUUUAGUAGAGAGAGAAAACAAGGGAAACAAAUCAUGAGAACAAUUUCGCCAUGGCUGCAACUACAGUUGCACGUGAAAAAAGGGCAUAGAAACCCAUUUCACAGACAAUCCGGGUCGCCCAGCCAAGACAUGGGUCCUUUCAAAUAUCUGAUUUACUUGGAAAGUGUCAUCACAGCCACUUAAAUUUCCUGCACAUUUUCUCAGCAACCAAACAGAUACAAUAUCCUUCUCAGAAAACACAUUUUAAAACACAAACAAAAAAACCAAAACAAAACAAAGACCAGACUCAGCACGGAAGUGAAUAGCGCGUAAAAGGAAGGCUCAGAUUCGCCUUUUAUCAGACAAGAAAAGGAUGACCGUCAUGGCUGCAACCACAGUUGCUUGUGAAACAAGGCACAAAAGGUCCCAUCGCACAAACCAUCCGGGUUGCCCCGCCAAGAAACGGACAUUCCCAGUGCCUGACUUACUCUGAAAACGUCAUCACAGCCUUUUAUGUUGCCCACAUGAAGAGAGAGAGAGCGCUGUUGAUUUUCCAGAGAAUCAAGACAGCCUCUGAUAUAUAUGUAUAUAUAUAUAUAUAUACACAC
rnacentral:lncRNA from 1 species